UUUUUUUCUUUUUUGUUCGGAGUCUCAUCCCGACUUGUGGAGGAAUCAUAGUCUCCAUCAUCCUUUCCUCACUGGGACAAUGCUCUAAUAAUGAAGAUCAUCACACUUUUAUUUACUUACAACUCAAGAAUUACAACUCGAUACUUAGAACAAAAUAUGACUCUAUAUGAAUGCCUCCGGCGGUCUACCAGGAUGUGCAAUGAAUCAAGAGUGACAUGUAUGAAAAAAUUAUGAUAGGUGGCUUUGCCACAAAUACGAUGUCAACUACAUGAUCAUGCAAACUAUAUGACAAUGAUGAUGUGUGUCAUAAUAAACGGAACGGUGGAAAGUUGCAUGGCAAUAUAUCUCCGAAUAGCUAUGGAAAUGCCAUAAUAUGUAGGUAUGGUGGCUGUUUUGAGGAAGGUAUAUAUGGUGGGUGUAUGGUACCGGCAAAAGUUGCGCGACACAAGAGAGGCUAGCAAUGAUGGAAGGGUGAGAGUGCGUAUAAUCCAUGGACUCAACAUUAGUCAUAAAGAACUCACAUACUUAUUGCAAAAAUCUAUUAGUUGUUGAAAUGAAGUACUACGGGCAUGCUCCUAGGGGGAUAGAUUGGUAGAAAAAGACCAUCGCUCGUCCCCAACCUCCACUCAUAAGGAACACAAUCCAAAAAUAAAUCAUGAUCCGACUUCAUCACAUAACGGUUCACCAUACGUGCAUAUGCUACGAGAAUCACAAACCUCAACACAAGUAUUUCUCAAAUACACAAUUAUGCACUAGCAUGACUCUAAUAUCACCAUCUUUAUAUCUCAAAACAAUCAUAAGGAAUCAAACUUCUCAUAGUAUUCAAUGCACUUUAUAUGAAAGUUUUUAUUAUGUCCCUCUUGGAUGCCUAUCAUAUUAGGACUAAAUUUAUAACCAAAGAAAAUUACCAUGCUGUUUAGAGACUCUCAAAAUAAUAUAAGUGAAGCAUGAGAGUUCAUCAAUUUUUAUAAAAUAAAACCACCACCAUGCUCUAAAAAGAUAUAAGUGAAGCACUAGAGCAAAAUUGUCUCGCUCAAAAGAUAUAAGUGAAGCACAUAGAGUAUUCUAAUAAAUCACGAUUCAUGCAUGUCCCUCUCAAAAUGUGUGUACAUCAAGGAUGAUUGUGGCAAACUAAAAAGCAAAGACUCAAAUCAUACAAGACGCUCCAAGCAAAACAUAUAUCAUGUGGUGAAUAAAAAUAUAGCAUCAAGUAAAGUUACCAAUAGACAAAGACAAAAGAGGGGUGUGACGCCCCCAAUUCAAUCGUACACUAAUCAUACACGCAUACAUGUACGGUCAAGAUCAGGGACUCACGGGAAGAUAUCACAACACAACUCUAAACACAAAUAAAAGAAUACAAGCUUUAUAUUACAAGCCAGGGGCCUCGAGGGCUCGAAUACAAAAGCUUGACACACAAGAGUCAGCGGAAGCAACAAUAUCAGAGUACAGACAUAAGUUAAACAGGGAUGCCUUAAGAAGCCUAGCACAAAAGCAACACGAUCGAAGAGGCAAGGCCUCCUGCCUGGGACCUCCUAACUACUCCUGGUCUUCGGCGGCCUCCAUGUAGUAGUAUCCAUCGGCGGUGGCAUCUGGCUCCAACGAUCCGCCAUCUGGUUGCAUCAACCGGAAAGAAGAAGGAAGGGGGAAAAGGGGGAGCAAAGCAACGGUGAGUACUCAUCCAAAGUACUCGCAAGCAUCAGACCUAUACUAAGUAUGCACUGGUAUCAAAUGGAAGGUUUGUAUCUAUGGACUGAACUGCAGAAUGCUAGAAUAGAGGGCGAGGGCCUAGCCUAUCAAAGACUAGCAUCUUCACGUAGCUCCGAGCAUCUUGCAGCAUGCAGAAGAGUAAAGAAUAGCAGUUUAUAAUUAACAAGCAUGUUGUAACAUUAAUGCCCAGAGAUCCUUCCUCGACUCCCUGCGAGAAAGCAAUCCCGGAGCCACAUAUCCAUCACAUAUCAAGUAUCCAUUUCUAGUUGUAUAAGAUCAGGAUACAAGUCUGAACGUCCAUUACCGAGGACAUGGUAUUCAAAUAAAGAUCUUCCCUGCAGGGGUGCACCACGUUACCCAACACGCUCGAUCACUCUGGCCGGACACACAUUUCUGGGGUCAAUGCCCGCCCUCGGAAGAUUAACACGUCACAGCCCUACCUAGGCUCAGCAGAGAGGUCCCCGCCGGUCUACAUCCUGAGCACUCCGGGGUCUGGGCCCAUCGCCCGUUGCACUCUGGGUCCUUGAGCGCAAGGGGAUACCAGCACCACCCGUGAAGUGGAUGGCACGAUCCAGCCCGGCCAAAAUGCUGAACUGGACGUCUGACAAAGCUUCGGCUGAUACUGCAACGUCGAGGCCCAUAACUAUUCUUGCAUGGUGGUUAGUGCGUAAAGGCUAGAGGCCAACUCAGAACAAAUACCCAAACCUGUUAGUGCAUUAUUAAAAGGAGUGACGGCUGUCGGGACAAGUCCGGAGCUAUCACCUCUCCUGGGUGAUUUCGCUAAACAGCCAGCCGCCACCGUCACACUGCAUGGGUGCUCUCCGGGCCCGCCCGACUUUCACAACGGUCUCCAGAAAAGUCAAGGUAACUGUGUGUCCAGAAAUCAAGGGGAAAACCCGAGGAAUCACCCCCGGUGGAUUCCACUCAAUGUAAUCAUCAAGGUGAACGUAAGAGGGACCACCCUCAAGGUUCACACUUGAGGUGUUGAACGACAGAGCCGUAUCGGGAAUGGUGAAAGAGGAAAUCACCCUCGAUGACCAUGAUCAAAUAGCUACACUACAGAAUUAUCAUCAGGAGUGCGUUAUGAGGGAUCACCCUCGGCACUCGAUAGUAGCUCUGCAGAGUCGAGCAACUAAAGGGGCGUGAUGUAAUGUGAGGUUGUAACGCCCACGAUGCGGCUAUAUCUCCCACGUGUCGAAGCACGACUUAGAGGCAUAACCGCAUGGUGGUUUUGUCGCAAGAAGGGUCAUCUUCACACAAUCCCAUGUAAUGAACAACAAUGGGUUAAAGAGAGUUGGCUUACAAUAUCCACUUCACACAAUACAUAAUUUAAGAUUCAUACAUCAUUCAAAAUACACUCAAAGACCGACUACGGUCAAAAAUCCAAAUGAAAAGAAGACAACCCCAAAUGCUAGAUCCCCGAUCGUCCCGACUGGGCUCCGCUACUGAUCAUCUGGAAACGAUACAUAGUAACGACCAAGGUCCUCAUCAAACUCCCACUUGAGCUCGGUUGCGCCACUUGCGCUGGUAUCCUUAGCACCUGCAUCUGUUUUGGUAGAAUCUGUGAGCCACGGGGACUCAUCAAUCUCACACCCGCGAGAUCAAGACUGUUUAAGCUCAUAGGUAGGAAAGGGGUAAUAUGGUGGAGCUGCAGCAAGCACUAAGCAUAUAUGGUGGCUAACAUACACAAGUGAGAGCGAGAAGAGAAGCAACGCAUCGGUCGAGAAGCUAGAAGCGAUCAAGAAGUGAUCCUGAAACUACUUACGGUCAUACAUAACUCAAACUGUGUUCACUUCCCGAACUCCGCCGAGAGGAGACCAUCACGGCUACACACACGGUUGAUGCAUUUUAAUGAAGUCAAGUGUCAAGUUAUCUACAACCAGACAUUAACAAAUUCCCAUCUGCCUCAUAACCGCGGGCACGGCUUUCGAAAGAUAAUAUACCCUGCAGGGGUGUCCCAACUUAGCCCAUCAUAAGCUCUCAUGGUCAACGAAGGAUAAACCUUCUCCCGGGAAGACCCGAUCAGUCUCGGAAUCCCGGUUCGCAAGACAUUUCGACAAUGGUAAAACAAAACCAGCAAAGCCGCCCGAUGUGACAAAUCCCGAUAGGAGCUGCACAUAUCUCGUUCUCAGGGCAACACCGGAUGAGACUAGCUACGAGUAAAACCAACCCUCAAGUUUCCCCGAGGUGGCUCCGCAGGCAGCUCAGUUCGGACCAACACUCGAAGGAGCACUGGCCCGGGGGGGGGGGGUUAAAAUAAACCCCCGGGCUUGCGAAAACCCCAGGGAAAAAGGCUUAGGUGGCAAAUGGUAAAACCAAGGUUGGGCCUUGCUAGAGGAGUUUUAUUCAAAGCGAACUGUCAAGGGGGUCCCAUAAAUCACCCAACCGCGUAAGGAACGCAAAAUCAAGGAACAUAACACCGGUAUGACGGAAACUAGGGCAGCAAGAGUGGAACAAGACACCAGGCAUAAGGCCGAGCCUUCCACCCUUUACCAAGUAUAUAAGGUGCAUUAAUUAAACAGGAGAUAUUGUGAUAUCCCAAAAAUAUCCAGGUUCCAACAAGGAACGAACUUCAUCUUCACCUGCAACUAGCAACGCUAUAAGAGGGGCUGAGCAAAAGCGGUGGCAUAGCCAAACAACGGUUUGCUAGGACAGGAUGGUUAGAGGCUUGACAUGGCAAUAUGGGAGGCAUGAUAAACAAUGGCAGGUAGAGCUAACAUAACGAUAGAGCGAGCAACUAGCAAAGCAAAGAUAGAAGUGAUAUCGAAGGUAUGGUCAUCUUGCCUGCAAAGUUCUCAAUGUUGUCGAAGGCUUGAUCCUCAUAAGCGUUCUCAACAGGUUCCUCGUGCACGAACUCGUCUCCCGGCUCUACCCAAAGCAAGAACACAAGCAAUGGAACCACAAUCAAACAUGGAGCAAUGCACAAGCAACAUGAUGCAAUACAUGACAUGAUAUGCGAGAUGUGAUAUGCAAUGCAUAUGCGGGCUCCGGAAGGGAAAAUGAUGAACAAGGCAUCAACUUGGCAAACCAAGUAUGCCGCUGGAAAGAUGAGAUGAUUUCGGUUGAAAUCGAUAUAAAGAUCACCGGAAUCGGAUGCACGGUUUGCAAAUGGCAAGCAAAACAAGAAUGACACAAAUAUGCGAUUAACAGCACGAUGCUACUUAGCAUGCAACAAGAAACUAUGCUACAGCACCCCAACAAAAAAACAAAGCAUAUGGAAGUGAUCUACAGGAGAUGCUUGACAAAAGAGGAAUAGUGAGCUACGGCUAAAUCACACCAUAGCAGGUUCAAACAAGCAUGGGAAAAGUGCAAAAGAUAUCAGGUUGGACAUGGCAUAAACAUCAUCGGGUAGCAAUGUUCAGAUCAAGUAAUCAACAUGCUACAGGAACUUAUAAUAGCAAAACAAGGCAUGAAAAGAUUCUACUCAAAUCAUAGAACAAAAGUACCUUACUGACCAUGAGCCAAAAAGGAUCAGAAGAUAUUAUGGCAUCCAUGUAAACAUAGCAAGUUUCGUUAACAGAUUCAGCAAACUGAGCAUGGCAUUGACAGAAUUAUGAAGGCAUCUUCGCGAGCUCGAUUCACUCACCACAAGUCAUUGCAUGACAAGAUAAGCAUAGCAUCAGCAAUAAGACAUGUUUAUGAAGCUAUCCAAGGCAAGAACAAGUUCAUAGCAUGCAAGGAUCAACUACAACAACCUUGGCAAAAUUGAAUAACAUGUAAACAAGCUGCCAGGAAAUAUUUUGUAGCAAAAGUAGAGCACAAAAAUGACAUGCUAGACUACUCCAUAAUUUCAAACAGGGGCAUGAAUGGAUAGAGCAUAACCAUAUGUUCAAAACAUCCUUACUGAACUAUCUCAAAAUAUGCAUGGAUCUCUCUGUAGCAUCAAGUUUACAUGGCAUAAAAAUAACAGCAGAACAGGGACUGAAAUCAGCAACAUCACGACGCCUAGUUUACAUGCUUGUGCUAGUCACCACAUUGAUCACAAAAAGACAUGGCAUACACUCCUGUAAAGCUGGCAUGGCAUAGUUCAAAACAUCUGUAGGGCUCAAGUUCAUAAGAUGCACACAUAAAUCAUGGCAAAAAUGACAAAAGUGCAUGUUCUGAUAAGAAUCUGAAACUAACAUCACAUAGCCCUCUUCCAACAGCAUUUCGGGCAUCAAUAUGAGCUCAAAUGAAAAUGAUGCAAUGAGAUAAAAUGAUGUACUCAUCGAGACGAACAAUUCGGUAUGCUACACGCCCAAAACGGAGCCACGGGUGCAAAGUUAUAACACGAUGAACAGGGCAUGAUAAUGUGCAGACUUAGUGGAAAUUCGAAGUCAACCUAGGGUGGAUCUGGAUCGGGCGCGCGAUUCGAGGCAGGCCGGUGCGAGCUCGCCAGAGUAGAGGUCGGGGCCGGCCUGGGCGCGGUCGGUCGGAGGCGGCGGCCGGGACGACGGCGACCGACAGGCGACGAGGCGGCGGCGUNNNNNNNNNNNNNNNNNNNNNNNNNNNNNNNNNNNNNNNNNNNNNNNNNNNNNNNNNNNNNNNNNNNNNNNNNNNNNNNNNNNNNNNNNNNNNNNNNNNNNNNNNNNNNNNNNNNNNNNNNNNNNNNNNNNNNNNNNNNNNNNNNNNNNNNNNNNNNNNNNNNNNNNNNNNNNNNNNNNNNNNNNNNNNNNNNNNNNNNNNNNNNNNNNNNNNNNNNNNNNNNNNNNNNNNNNNNNNNNNNNNNNNNNNNNNNNNNNNNNNNNNNNNNNNNNNNNNNNNNNNNNNNNNNNNNNNNNNNNNNNNNNNNNNNNNNNNNNNNNNNNNNNNNNNNNNNNNNNNNNNNNNNNNNNNNNNNNNNNNNNNNNNNNNNNNNNNNNNNNNNNNNNNNNNNNNNNNNNNNNNNNNNNNNNNNNNNNNNNNNNNNNNNNNNNNNNNNNNNNNNNNNNNNNNNNNNNNNNNNNNNNNNNNNNNNNNNNNNNNNNNNNNNNNNNNNNNNNNNNNNNNNNNNNNNNNNNNNNNNNNNNNNNNNNNNNNNNNNNNNNNNNNNNNGGGAGGCAGGGGCGGAUGCGUCCGGCGCCGAGCGGACGUGUCCGGCGCGCGGAGGAAGGGGAGACUAGGGUUUUGCCUGAAAAUUGGACGAGGAGGACAUAUUUAUAGGUAGGAGUUUGGAGAGUCCAAAUGAGGUGUAGUUUUCGCCCACACGAUCGUGAUCCGACGACGGAGAGCAAGGAAGUGACUUAGAUGGGUUAUUGGGCUGUUUUGAAAGGGUGUUGGGCUGCAACCCAAAAGAGGCCUUUGCGGUUAUGCAGUUAAUCGUUGGAGUAUCAAACGAGCUCCAAAUGACUCGAAACUUGACAACUGGUCUACCGGUGGUGUACCAAGGCCACUUGGCAAGCCUCGUCCCAUUCUGAGAAUGUUUUAACACCCGCACACGAAAAGAGACAAGAGGGGUGCGCCGGUGCACGUGGGAUUGUCGGAUUGCAAAACGGACAACGAGGAAAAUGCUCGGAUGCAUGAGAAGAACACGUAUGCAGAUGAGAUUCACAUGAUGGCCUUGCUGGAGGAGUUUUAUUCAAAGCGAACUGUCAAGGGGGUCCCAUAAAUCACCCAACCAAGUAAGGAACGCAAAAUCCGGGAACAUAACACCGGUAUGACGGAAACUAGGGCGGCAAGAGUGGAACAAAACACCAGGCAUAAGGCCGAGUCUUCCACCCUUUACCAAGUAUAUAGAUGCAUUAAUGAAAUAAGAGAUAUUGUGAUAUCCCAACAUAAUCCUGUCCAUCAUGGAGCAAUCUUCAACUUCACCUGCAACUAACAACGCUAUAAGAGGGGCUGAGCAAAGCGGUAACAUAGCCAAACAAAGGUUUGCUAGGAAGGGUGAAAAAGUUAGAGGCUUACAUGGCAAAUUGGGAGGUUUGAAGAACAAGUGAUAGGUAGCGCAGCAUAGCGAUAGAACGAAGCAACUAGCAUAGCAAUGAUAGUAAUGAGAUCCAAGGUAACGGUCAUCUUGCCUGAAAUCCCGCUAGGAGGAAGAACGAGUCCAUGAAGAAGACGAACGGGAGUAGUCAAAUGAAUCCUCACAGCUCCGGAAUGAAACCGAAGCUAACGAGAGAAGCAAACCGGAAAGAAGCAAACAAUAUGGUAAACACACAAGCAUAAUCAUGGCAUGAUGCACAAACAAGUAUGAUGCAUGUCCGGUUUAAUGAGGCAUGGCAUGACAAUAUGCACAAACAACACUACAAGUUAAGUGGAGCUCAAUAUGCAACAAGUUGUACAUUGACGAAACACCACAUUCGAGUUAUUUAGUUCGCUCUCGUUUAGGUACACAACAAUAUUAAAUGUUGGUUAACCUGGCAAGAGGUGAAGCAUAAUGAAACUACCUAUCUAGGCAAGUUUAAAUGAGGCCGGAAGUAACAAACAACAAUUCCGGAAAAUCCUCAUGUCCAUAUUUUAGAUUUGGUACUGUUCUGCCCUAAACCAUAUUUUAUAGUUGUUAAACAGGAAAAUAAAGUGGACCAUGUUAAACUAGGCAUUUUUCCACCCCAUUUACGUAUAAAGUUUAUUAAAAUUGGAGCUACGGUUAUUUAGUUAUGAAAUAAAUCAUUUUAACAUGGCAAUUGAGCAAAUUUAAACAAACAACAUUUUAAACAUAUUUAACAUGGAUGAAAGUGGCAUAUUAUGAAACUAGAUGAAAAACUAAGCAUUUUACAUGUUUAAAUCAUUUUAAUCCGAUGCACGGUUAUUUAGUUGUGAGUAGUUUAAAAUCAUGGCAUUUUCUGUAAUUAUGCAUGCACAGGGUAUUUAGCAAAAUCGUCCAAGAAAAAAAAACAUGACACGGGCCGCAUCUAAAUAGUGCACUGGGCGUCUGGGCUGCUCACCUAGCUGGGCUUGGCCCAGGUCGGUGGAGGUGGGAGCUGGGCCGCGGUCAAUAGGCGAAGGGAGGCGCUGACUGGGCACAGACGCGCGAGGCGGGGAGGCUACAGGCGUGGUUGGACCGAGAGAUGCAGACGCUCGUUCUUCUCACACUGAACAGGGGCGGUGUUGGUCGUUCAAAUGGCGAGGAAGACGACCGGCGGGAUCCCGCGGGGUGAGGAUGGGACUCCAGAGAUGAGAUCCUCGCGGAUCCGAGCAAGGGCGGCGAUGGGUCGAUGGAGGGAAGCUCCUCGAACCUGGGACAGAGAGGGAAAGAGAUCAGGGGAAAAGAGGGAGGAGUAUGGGGAGAAAGGAGAAGAAAAGGGAGCAGGGCGGCGAGGUCUGGCCUGGUCUUGGAGCUCGGAGAAACGCGCCAUGGUGCCGAACGAGAGGCUGCAAGCGCAAGGGGAGGUGUGGAGCACCAGAUCCGAAGCAGGGGAACAGGAGGAGGCCGGGUCCGUCGAUGGAGGCGCCAUUUGGCGAUGUGGCCGUCGGGGGAGAGCUUCAUAGGGCGCCAUGGUUGUUCCUUGGAGAGAGGGAGAGAACCGAGAGAAAGUAAGAGAGGCAAGGGAGGAAGAGGUAGUCGCGAGGGAGGUGGAGCACGGGCCUGGGCACUCAUGAGAGGAAGCGGAGCUCCGGACUGCUGCUGCUGCUUGGGUUGCUGGCAACCACCGGCAAGGCAGUGGCGCGGGGACAAGGAGGCACAGCCUCGUGCGUUUCCUCGGGCGCGCGGGCUUGGGAGAAGGAGCUCGAGCUCCAGGUUGCUGCUGGUCGAGGAGGGUCGUGGGGAUCUCUGGUUGGUGGGGAUCGAUAGAUGGGUGGAUCGACGGGACUGGGUGGCAAGGAAGAUCGAGGAAGGAGGAGGCUGCGGCUGGUUGGUCGGGUGAAGAAAACGAGGGAUGAUUUGGUAGAGAGUGGCGGUGGGCAGGAGGAUGGAUGGGACAAGGGGCCUAGAUUUUAGGGAUUGGUCUAGGGUUGGACUAUUUAUAUAGGUAGGGGAUUAAGGCAGGGUUAACGCGAUCCGUCCGAUCGAAAUCGGGUGGUCGAGAAAAAUAGGUUAGGUGGCCCAAAUAAGAAACCGGAGAUGUUUUAUAGAUGUUUGGGGAUGAUCCGGACUCAACGGUCAUGACUGUGCGGGUCGGGUUCGGGAAGCAUUCGGACGUGCGCGAGGUUGCGAAAGAGAGUCCAUGGCUGUGCCAAGAGAUAAGGUGGUCAAACAAGAGGGAAACGAGAACCCAGUUGGUCUCGAAACGGACAACGAAGACAAGGGGGACACGACAACUACGAACAGAUGCAAGUUUUAUGAAAACAUGCAGAUGCAAUGUGCAUGAUGCUAUGAGAUGAGAUGCAUGACACGAACAAAAUGCAAAACAAAACACAAAAACCCAACCAUGGAGGAAAUAUCAUAUCGCAUCUCCAGAAAAGGCAAGAGUUGGAGUUACGAAUAUGGAAAGUUGUAUCCGGGGCGUUACAACACUCCACCACUAUGAGAGGAUCUCGGCCCGAGAUCUAGGAUGGCACCGGAGAGAAACGGAAGAGGAAGAGAAGAGGUAAGGCUAAGUUGCUUCUUUGACGAAUGAGUGAAACCACGAACCUUGAGAGGUUUAGUAAUAUGAAAGAAAGAAAACAAGGAAGAUGAACAUAGUUGAAAACACUCCAUUAGAAAAGAGGAACAAGGGAUACGACGAGUACCAAGAGGUUUAGUGAUAAGAUAGAUAUUGAAACCACUCCGGUUAAAACUAGAUAGAGAAGGAAUAAGAUUGAUAUAAUUUGGGCAGCACUCCGACUGAAAGAAGAAGGAAAACUUGAUAAGAUGAAAAGAACUUGAAGAGAUGACACAACACUCCGGUUAAAUGGAUAAGCUUAAAAAGAACAUGAUCCUCACAAAACGAGGUGAUGGGUGAAGAGCACAACAUCACAAUGCCUUCGUAACGAAAGAAUAUAAGUUAGACCGUUGGGAUAAAGGGACGGAGGAGAAAAUGACAACUUUUGCCACAAGUGAACUCAGAAAGCAUCCUUGCAAAGAAGAAUCGAACGGAGUUGUUGGAAAAUCAACAACGAGAAGCACAAGCUUGUUGUGGGCUUAUGGGAAACAUCUCAAGACUAUGAGGUGACAACCGGCCACUAAUGGAAGCCAUUGAUUUGAUUGAGAGCACCAAAGAGAUGAAAAACUUCUUCACCGAGAGGAUAGGAGAAAACUCGGAUCAUUGAUAGCACCAUAAUUAGCAAUAUUCCUUAGGGAAGGCUUUAGGUGAAAUAUGACACAAGAUAACUCCAACAAUGAGGUUGAUGGUUGAAAAGAUCUCUUGAACAAAGAGAAAAUGAUGGAUUUAAAUAUGUCACUCUUGAAAACUUGUGAAUCAUGAAACGCGAAGGGAAAUUGUCAAGAAUGAUAUAACACCAUCUCAAAAGAUAAGGUAGGAAUUGCACUUUGGAAUGCAAGAUGAAGAAUACUUGAACUCCUCAAAACAAAACCUGUGUUGUGCACCAUGUUUAAUUUUUGAGUAUAGCUUGGCGGAUCAUCAACUCGAGAGAAGUCUUGAAGAACAAAUGAAGAAUGAAAGGAAUCCUUGACGAACCACCAUGUAGAGCCUCCAUGAAGAACUCCGGUAAUAAAAGGAUGAUAAAAAGAAAGAGAAGUUGAAAACACAAGGUGAAGCCUUGCAAUGAUUUAGAUGGAGCUUCACGACGAGAUAAUUGAGAGAGCUUGGAACUCCGAAAAGAAAGAUGAGGCCUCUCGAACCGAGAAUGUGAUAUGAUGACCAACUCUGGAAAGAAAGAUGAAUCCCUUGUAAUCAAGAAUUUAUUCAUCAUGACUAAUCUACGGAAAAAGAAUUGUGUCACCUCGAGGAAAUAAGAAUAAGAUUUAUUGUAUGCUUAUCCUUCAUCAAAUUAAAUUGAUGACAAGCAAUGGAUUUGGCAUACUACUUAUUCUCAUUGAAAAAUGAUUAUAGAUAGAGAUAUAGCGCAAACUUCAGAAGGUAUUGAUGGAACCACCGGUGGGAUUGGAAACAACGAAUGAAAUGAUACGGUAGAAAAGGAAGAGGAAUCUUGGACGAACCACCGUAAGAAUUGAAAAUGAAAGUAGCAAAGGCACAAAUCACCGGGAAGAAUGGGAAAAUGAAUGAAGAUACUUGAGGCGAUUUAGAUACCUGAGAACGAAGAGAACAAGAACUGAUUAGAGGAUAUUUGAAUGAUGCACCGGUAGAAUAUGGAGAAGGAGAGCUAAAAGCUAAGAAUGAAAAACAAAGAGGUUGAGCCAACAAUGAAAAUGAUUCGAAAUUGAUCUUGGAAAACAUCUGACUGAUGAAAUUCAUUCUUACGUCAAAUUUUGAAAAGAAUUUGGGAAUGGCUCCGGGAAAAUUAAAAGAGUCAGGUAAGAUCCUGGGAAAAGACCUGUGGGUUAGGGCCCACUCAAAAGAAAACACCAUGUCUUUCAACCUUCAAGUUAUCGCAAUGUUCCUCGUUCCUCUUUUCUAACGGAUUGUUUGCAAUCUCGUUCAUCUCUGUUGUACUCUUUCUUUUAAAUUGCUCAACCUCUCAAGGUUCGUGGUUUCACUCGUUCGUCAAAGAAGCAACUUAGUUUUACCUCUUCUCUUCCUCUUUCGUUUCGCUCUGGUGCCAUGCUAGAUCUUGGGACGAGAUCCUCUCGUAGUGGCGGAGUGUUGUAACGCCCCGGAUACAAAUUUCCAUAUUCGUAACUCCAACUCUUGCCUUUUCCGGAGAUGUGAUAUGAUAUUUCCUUCGUGGUUGAGUUUUUGUCUUUUGUUUUGCAUUUUGUUCAUGGCAUGCAUCUCAUCUCAUCGCAUCAUUUGUAUUGCAUCAACACUUGUUGCCAUCAUCAUUUUUUUAACUUGCAUCCGCUCGUAGUUGCCGCGUCCCCCCUUGCUUUUGUUGACCGCCCCGAGACCAACCGUGUUUUCGUUUCCUUUUUGUCCGACCACCUAACCUCUCUUGCCAGCUCGCAGCCCCCCUCACGCGCGUGUCUGAAACUCCCCCGAACCCGACCCGGACAGUCAUCGCCGAUGGGUCCGGAUCAACCCCAAACAUCCCUAAAAUAUCUUCGUUCAUUUGUUUGGACUCUCGAAGCAUUUUAUUCUCGACCGUCUGAUUUUUAUCGAAUGAUCCAAACUCUCCUCCUUUCCAUAUAUAUAGUCCACCCCUAGUCUAUUUUGCAAACCCUAGAACCUAGGGAUCCUGUCCCAUCCUCCAUUCUCUGUCCGCCGCCGCCACUCUCUCCAAAAUCCCCCUCGGGAUCCAUCCCUCCCCAACCAUCGCUCGCCACCUACAACCUCCAGAUCCCCUCGCCCUCCUCCCUCUUCGAGCCCGAGGUCAUGCCUCCUUUGCUCGAUCCCCACCAGCGCAAGCCACUUCUUCCCUCGAUCCCGAACGGAUCGUGUAGCUGCUCGAGGCCCGAGCAGGAGCACUCAGCCUCAUCCCCUCGCGCCACCACCAUCGACAACCGUACCUCGCCGGAGCUCGUCCGCGAGCAGGACCGCCGUCACCCUCUCCUUCCUUUUCCCUCUGUUUACCCUCUUCUCCUCCUCAUAUCGCCUUCUCUUGUUCUUCAGGACAAACAGGAGCCUCGCCAUGGCCACCGGAUGGAGUUCCACCGCCAUGGGCGCCUCUGCUGCCUGACCUCGCCUCUGCCUUGACUUCGCCGUGCUCCUCCCCUGCCCCGAGCCCCGACCGCAACCAGCACCCGACCCGCAGGUCGCCAGCGCGCCCGUGGCCCUAGCCUUCUCUCUUCUUCCCCUUCCCAUUCUGCUUCUCUGAAUCUCUCUCUCUCUCUCUCUGUGUUUCUUCAGGAAACUGCAGCAGCCUCCGAGUUCGAGCAGCUGCCUCCUACCCGGAUCGAAGACAUCCCGCGCUUGGAUACGGACGCCACCGAGCUCCCGUGCCAACCUCUCCUCACCCUGCUGCUUGCCGGAGUCCCACCGGCGCCCGCCUCGCUCGGUUGUGCCCUCUACUUCUAGCGACAGGACGAGCAUCGCUCGCGUUGACCGCGCCAAGUCCCACGACCGCACGCGCCUGGGCUGGCCUCGCCUUGGCCCAGCUAACUCUGCCUGCCCCAAGCCUCUCCACCGACCUGGGCCAUGGCCCAUGGUGAGAACCCCAGCCCCUCCAGAUUCGGCCCGAUAGUGGAUUUUUUCUCGUUCUGCGAAUUUAGCUAAUUUCCAGAGACUGCAGUUUUGCAGAAAAACCCCCAAGCAUCAUGCAUUUAAUAACUCUUGAAACAUGCAUCGGAUUAAAAUGAUUUAAACAUGUAAAAUGCUUAGAAUUUUGUGUAGAUUAACAAUUUGCUGCUUUCAUCCAUGUUUAAAAUAUUUAAAAUUGCUGUUUGCAUUAAUUUGCAUAAAUGCCAUGCUAAAACAUUUUAUUUCAUAACUAAUUAACCGUAACUCGGUUUUUAAUAAACUUUAUAUGUAAAUGCGAUGGAAAAAUGCAUAGAUUAAUAUGGUCCCCUUUGUUUUACUGUUUAACAACAUUAAAAUAUGUUUUAGGGCAGCAUAGUACCAAAACUAAAAUAUGGACAUGAGGAUUUUCCGGAAUUGUUAUAUGUUGUUCGCGGCCUCAUUUAAACUUGCUUUGAUAUGUCGCUCUUGUUUGCAUCAUCUCUUGCCAUGAGUAGCUUCAUGUAGCUUUGUCAUGCAUCAUGCUUGUUGUGCAUCAUGUCUUAUAUAUGUGUGGUGUGUUUACUAUGUUGUGUGCUUCUUCUCGAUAGUUCCCGUUUCAUCGCGAUCGUGAGGAUUCGUUCGUCUACGCUUGGUUCGUCUUCGUGGCUUCAUAUUCUUCAUGGACUCGUUCUUCUUCCUAGCGGGAUUUCAGGCAAGAUGACCGCUACCCUGGAUCUCACUACUAUCAUUGCUAUGCUAGUUGCUUCGUUCUAUCGCUUUGCUGCGUUACAUAUCAUUUGCUCUUCAAGCCUCCCAAAUUGCCAUGAACCUCUAAUCGUUGACACCCUUCCUAGCAAACCGUUGCUUGGCUAUGUUACCGCUUUGCUCAGCCCCUCUUAUAGCGUUGUUAGUUGCAGGUGAAGUUGAAGAUUGCCCCAUGGUGGACAGGAUUAUGUUGGGAUAUCACAAUAUCUCUUAUUUUAAUUAAUGCAUCUAUAUACUUGGCAAAGGGUGGAAGACUCGGCCUUAUGCCUGGUGUUUUGUUCCACUCUUGCCCCCUAGUUUCCGUCAUAUCGGUGUUAUGUUCCCGGAUUUUGCGUUCCUUACGCGGUUGGGUGAUUUAUGGGACCCCCUUGACAGUUCGCUUUGAAUAAAACUCCUCCAGCAAGGCCCAACCUUGGUUUUACCAUUUGCCUCACCACCACCUACUUUUCCCUUGGGAGUCGCUCUCUCUAGGGUCAUCUUUAUUUUAGCCCCCCCCCGGGCCAGUGCUUGUCUAAGUGUUGGUCCGAACUGAGCUGCCUGCGGGGCCACCUCGGGGCAACUUGAGGGUUGGUUUUACUCGUAGCUAGUCUCAUCCGGUGUUGCCCUGAGAACGAGAUAUGCGCAGCUCCUAUCGGGAUUGUCGGCGCAUCGGGCGGCUUUGUUGGUCUUGUUUUACCAUUGUCGGAAUGUCUUGUAAACCGGGAUUCCGAGACUGAUCGGGUCUUCCUGGGAGAAGGUAUAUCCUUCGUUGAUCGCAGGAGCUUAUCAUGGGCUAAGUUGGGACACCCCUGCAGGGUAUUAUCUUUCGAAAGCCAUGCCCGCGGUUAUGUGGCAGAUGGGAAUUUGUUAAUGUCCAGUUAUAGAUAACUUGACACCAGAUCCGAAUUAAAACGCAUCAACCGCGUGUGUAGCCGUGAUGGUCUCUUUUUGGCGGAGUCCGGGAAGUGAACACGGUUUCUGUGUUAUGAUUGAUGUAAGUAGGAGUUCAGGAUCACUUCUUGAUCAUUGCUAGCUUCACGACCGUUCCGCUUGCUCUCUUCUCGCUCUUAUUUUGCGUAUGUUAGCCACCAUAUAUGCUUAGUCGCUGCUACAACCUCACCACUUUACCCCUUCCUUUCCCAUUAAGCUCUGAUAGUCUUGAUACCCAUGGUAAUGGGAUUGCUGAGUCCUCGUGGCUCACAGAUUACUACAACAAUAGUUGCAGGUACAGGUUAUGUGAUGAUCAUGACGCGAGAGCGAUGUUUACUUGUUUGGAGUUCUUCUUCUGCUUCUUCUUCGAUCAGGGGAUAGGUUCCAGGUCGGCAGCCUGGGCUAGCAGGGUGGAUGUCGCUUGAGUUUCUGUUUGUGUUUCAUCCGUAGUCAGAUGGUGCUUUUAUGUAUGAUGAUGUUGUAUUCGUGUGGCAUUGUAUGCCUCUUGUAUGUAUCCCCAUCUAUUAUGUAAUGUUGAUGUAAUGAUAUCCACCUUGCAAAAGUGUAUCAAUAUGCGGUUCUAUCCCUGUUGGGACCUUUGAGUCUCUUUAGGAUAGUAUCGCAUAUUGGGCGUGACAAGUUGGUAUCAGAGCCAGGUCUUGUCACGCCCAAUAUGCGACCAUAUCCAAAAGGAACUUGAAGGUCCCACCAAGGAUAGACCCGCAUAUUGAAACGCUUUUGCAAGGUGGAUAUCAUUACAUCAACAUUACAUAAGAAGAUGUGGAUACAUACAAAAGGCAUACAAUGCCACAAGAAUACAACAUCAUCAUACAUAAGAGCACCAUCCGACUACGGAUGAAACAUAAACAGAAACUCAAACGACAUCCACCCUGCUAUCCCAGGCUGCCGACCUGGAACCUAUCCCCUGAUCGAAGAAGGCGCAGAAGAAGAACUCCAAAACAAGCAAACAUCGCUCUCGCGUCAAGAUCAUUGCAACCUGUACCUGCAACUGUUGUUGUAGUAAUCUGUGAUCCACGAGGACUCAGCAAUCCCAUUACCAUGGGUAUCAAGACUAGCAAAGCUUAAAUGGUUAAGGAAGGGGUAAAGUGGUGAGGUUGCAGCAGCGACUAAGCAUAUAUGGCGGCUAACAUACGCAAAAGAGAGCGAGAAGAGAAGAAAAGGAACGGUCGUGAAGCUAGCAAUGAUCAAGAGGUGAUCCUGAACUCCUAUUUACGUCAAACAUAACCCAAGAAACUGUGUUCACUUCCCGGACUCCGCCGAGAAGAGACCAUCACGGCUACACACGCGGUUGAUGCGUUUUAAUUCGGAUCUGGUGUCAAGUUAUCUACAACCGGACAUUAACAAAUUCCCAUCUGCCACAUAACCACGGGCACGACUUUCGAAAGAUAAUACCCUGCAGGGGUGUCCCAACUUAGCCCAUGAUAAGCUCUCGUGAUCAACAAAGGAUAUACCUUCUCGCAGGAAGACCCGAUCAGACUCGGAAUCCUGGUUUACAAGACAUUUCGACAAUGGUAAAACAAGACCAGCAAAGCCGCCCUAUGCGCCGACAAUCCCGAUAGGAGCUGCACAUAUCUCGUUCUCAGGGCAACACCGGAUGAGACUAGCUACGAGUAAAACCAACCCUCAAGUUGCCCCAAGGUGGCCUCGCAGGCAGCUCAGUUCGGACCAACACUUAGACAAGCACUGGCCCGGGGGUGGGGGGGCUAAAAUAAAGAUGACCCUCGAGAGAGCGACUCCCAAGGGAAAAGUAGGUGGUGGUGAGGCAAAUGGUAAAACCAAGGUUGGGCCUUGCUGGAGGAGUUUUAUUCAAAGCGAACUGUCAAGGGGGUCCCAUAAAUCACCCAACCGCGUAAGGAACGCAAAAUCCGGGAACAUAACACCGAUAUGACGGAAACUAGGGGGCAAGAGUGGAACAAAACACCAGGCAUAAGGCCGAGUCUUCCACCCUUUGCCAAGUAUAUAGAUGCAUUAAUUAAAAUAAGAGAUAUUGUGAUAUCCCAACAUAAUCCUGUCCACCAUGGGGCAAUCUUCAACUUCACCUGCAACUAACAACGCUAUAAGAGGGGCUGAGCAAAGCGGUAACAUAGCCAAACAACGGUUUGCUAGGAAGGGUGAAAAGGUUAGAGGCUGACAUGGCAAUUUGGGAGGCUUGAAGAGCAAAAGAUAGGUAGCGCAGCAUAGCGAUAGAACGAAGCAACUAGCAUAGCAAUGAUAGUAAUGAGAUCCAGGGUGACGGUCAUCUUGCCUGAAAUCCCGCAAGGAAGAAGAACGAGUCCAUGAAGAAGAUGAAGCCACGAAGAUGAACCAAGCGUAGACGAACGAAUCCUCACGAUCGCAACGAAACGGGAAACUAUCAAGAAGAAGCACACAACAUGGUAAACACACCACAGAUAAACAAGACAUGAUGCACAACCAAGCAUGAUGCAAGACAAGACUACACGAAGCUACUCAUGGCAAGAGAUGAUGCAUCCAAGAGCAACACAUCAAGGCAAGUUUAAAUGAGGCCGGAAACAACAUAUAACAAUUCCGGUAAGUCCUCAUAUGUAAAUUUUGAAGUUGGUCCAGAUCUGAAUAAACAUUAAGUUGAAGUUGUUAAACAGCAAGUUAAAAAGCACCAAGAGGAUCUACACAAAAUUCUAGUCAAGUUACGUAUAAAGUUCAUCAGAUUUGGAUCUACGGCCUAGAAGAUAUGAGCAAAACAAGUUAAACAUGGCAUUGAUGCAAAAUGCAUACGAACAUCAAGCAAACACCUCAAAAUAUGAUGCAACAUGAUAAUAUGAAACUACAUGCAAAAUCAAGCAAGUUUCAUAUAAAGCACACUCAAAACGGAGCAACGGUGCAACACAUACACUCUAUACAAGGCAUAACAACAAUCUGUCCAUAACAGCAAGUAGGCAUAUUGCAAGCAUCAAAACAACAUGCUACAGUACCACAAUAUAAAAACAAAAGGCAUGGUCAUGAUGUACAGGUAAAGCAUAACAAAACAUGAACACUGAGCUAUCUCCAGAAAUCACUAGAACAUGCUCAAAAUGACAUGGCAAGAUUGCAAAAUACCAACUUGUAACGCCAACGAUGCGGCUAUAUCUCCCACGUGUCGAAGCCCGACUUAGAGGCAUAACCGCAUGGUGGUUUUGUCGCAAGAAGGGUCAUCUUCACACAAUCCCAUGUAAUGAACAAGAAUGGGAUAAAGAGAGUUGGCUUACAAUCGCCACUUCACAUAAUACAUAAUUUAAGAUUCAUACAUCAUUCAAAAUACACUCAAAGACCGACUACGGUCAAAAAUCCAAAUGAAAAUAAGACAACCCCAAAUGCUAGAUCCCCGAUCGUCCCGACUGGGCUCCGCUACUGAUCAUCUGGAAACGAUACAUAGUAACGACCAAGGUCCUCAUCAAACUCCCACUUGAGCUCGGUUGCGCCACUUGCGCUGGUAUCCUCGGCACCUGCAUCUGUUUUGGUAGAAUCUGCGAGCCACGGGGACUCAGAAAUCUCACACCCGCGAGAUCAAGACUAUUUAAGCUCAUAGGUAGGAAAGGGGUAACAUGAUGGAGCUGCAGCAAGCACUAAGCAUAUAUGGUGGCUAACAUACGCAAGUGAGAGCGAGAAGAGAAGCAAUGCAUCGGUCGAGAAGCUAGAAGCGAUCAAGAAGUGAUCCUGACACUACUUACGGUCAUACAUAACUCAAACCGUGUUCACUUCCCGGACUCCACCGAGAAGAGACCAUCACGGCUACACACACGGUUGAUGCAUUUUAAUGAAGUCAAGUGUCAAGUUAUCUACAACCGGACAUUAACAAAUUCCCAUCUGCCUCAUAACCGCGGGCACGACUUUCGAAAGAUAAUAUACCCUGCAGGGGUGUCCCAACUUAGCCCAUCAUAAGCCCUCACGGUCAACGAAGGAUAAACCUUCUCCCGGGAAGACCCGAUCAGUCUCGGAAUCCCGGUUCGCAAGACAUUUCGACAAUGGUAAAACAAAACCAGCAAAGCCGCUCGAUGUGCCGACAAAUCCCGAUAGGAGCUGCACAUAUCUCGUUCUCAGGGCAACACCGGAUGAGACUAGCUACGAGUAAAACCAACCCUCAAGUUUCCCCGAGGUGGCCCCGCAGGCAGCUCAGUUUGGACCAACACUCGAAGGAGCACUGGCCCGGGGGGGAGGGUUAAAAUAAAGAUGACCCUCGGGCUCGCAAAAACCCCAGGGAAAAAGGCUUAGGUGGAAAAUGGUAAAACCAAGGUUGGGCCUUGUUGGAGGAGUUUUAUUCAAAGCGAACUGUCAAGGGGGGCCCAUAAAUCACCCAACCGCAUAAGGAACGCAAAAUCAAGGAACAUAACACCGGUAUGACAGAAACUAGGACGGCAAGAGUGGAACAAGACACCAGGCAUAAGGCCGAGCCUUCCACCCUUUACCAAGUAUAUAAGGUGCAUUAAUUAAACAGGAGAUAUUGUGAUAUCCCAAAAAUAUCCAUGUUCCAACAAGGAACAAACUUCAUCUUCACCUGCAACUAGCAACGCUAUAAGAGGGGCUGAGCAAAAGCGGUGACAUAGCCAAACAACAGUUUGCUAGGACAGGAUGGUUAGAGGCUUUACAUGGCAAUAUGGGAGGCAUGAUAAACAAUGGCAGGUAGAGCUAACAUAACGAUAGAGCGAGCAACUAGCAAAGCAAAGAUAAAAGUGAUAUCGAAGGUAUGGUCAUCUUGCCUGCAAAGUUCUCAGAGUUGUCGAAGGCUUGAUCCUCGUAAGCGUUCUCAACAGGUUCCUCGUGCACGAAAUCGUCUCCCGGCUCUACCCAAAGCAAGAACACAAGCAAUAGAACCACAAUCAAACAUGGAGCAAUGCACAAGCAACAUGAUGCAAUACAUGACAUGAUAUGCGAGACAUGAUAUGCAAUGCAUAUGCGGGCUCCGGAAGGGAAAAUGAUGAACAAGGCAUCAACUUGGCAAACCAAGUAUGCCGCUGGAAAGAUGAGAUGAUUUUGGUUGAAAUCGAUAUAAAGAUCACCGGAAUCGGAUGCACGGUUUGCAAAUGGCAAGCAAAACAAGAAUGACACAAAUCUGCGAUUAACAGCACGAUGCUACUUAGCAUGCAACAAGAAACUAUGCUACAACACCCCAACAUAAAAACAAAGCAUAUGGAAGUGAUCUAAAGGAGAUGCUUGACAAAAGAGGAACACUGAGAUAUGGCUAAAUCACACCAUAGCAGGUUCAAACAAGCAUGGGAAAAGUGCAAAAGAUAUCAGGUUGGACAUGGCAUAAACAGCAUGAGGUAGCAAUGUUCAGAUCAAGUAAUCAACAUGCUACAUGAACUUAUAAUAGCAAAAGAAGGCAUGAAAAUAUUCUACUCAAAGCAUAGAACAAAAGUCCCUUACUGACCAUGAGCCAAAAAGGAUCAGAAGAAAUGAUGGCAUCCAUGUAAACAUAGCAAGUUUCGUUAACAGAUUCAGCAAACUGAGCAUGGCCUUGACAGAAUUAUGAAGGCAUCUUUGCGAGCUCGAUUCACUCACCACAAGUCAUUGCAUAACAAGAUAAGCAUAGCAUCAGCAAGAAGGCAUGUUUAUGAAGCUAUCCAAGGCAAGAACAAGUUCAUAGCAUGCAAGGAUCAACUACAACAACCUUGGCAAAAUUGAAUAACAUGUAAACAAUCAGCGAGGAAACAUUUUGUAGCAAAAGUAGAGCACGAAAAUGACAUGCUAGACUACUCCAUAAUUUCAAACAGGGGCAUGAAUGGAUAGAGCAUAACCAUAUGUUCAAAAAUCCUUACUGAAGUAUCUCAAAAUAUGCAUGGAUCUCUCUGUAGCAUCAAGUUUACAUGGCAUAAAAAUAACAGCAGAACAGGGACUGAAAUCAGCAACAUCACGAGGCCUAGUUUACAUGCUUGUGCUAGUCACCACAUUAAUCACAAAAAUACAUGGCAUACACCCCUAUAAAGCUGGAAUGCCAUAGUUCAAAACAUAUGUAGGGCUCAAGUUCGUAAGAUGCACACAUCAAUCAUGGCAAAAAUGACAAAAGUGCAUGUUCUGAUAAGAAUCUGAAACUAACAUCACAUAGCCCUCUUCCAACAGCAUUUCGGGCAUCAAGAUGAGCUCAAAUGAAAAUUAUGCAAUGAGAUAAAACGAUGUACUCAUCGAGACGAACAAUUCGGUAUGCUACACGCCCGAAACGGAGCCACGGGUGCAAAGUUAUAACACGAUGAACAGGGCAUGAUAAUGUGCAGACUUCGUAGAAAUUCGAAGUCAACCUAGGGUGGAUCUGGAUCGGGCGCGCGAUUCGAGGCAGGCCGGUGCGAGCUCGCCGGAGUAGAGGUUGGGGCCGGCCUGGGCGCGGUCGGUCGGAGGCGGCGGCCAGGACGGCGGCGACCGACNNNNNNNNNNNNNNNNNNNNNNNNNNNNNNNNNNNNNNNNNNNNNNNNNNNNNNNNNNNNNNNNNNNNNNNNNNNNNNNNNNNNNNNNNNNNNNNNNNNNNNNNNNNNNNNNNNNNNNNNNNNNNNNNNNNNNNNNNNNNNNNNNNNNNNNNNNNNNNNNNNNNNNNNNNNNNNNNNNNNNNNNNNNNNNNNNNNNNNNNNNNNNNNNNNNNNNNNNNNNNNNNNNNNNNNNNNNNNNNNNNNNNNNNNNNNNNNNNNNNNNNNNNNNNNNNNNNNNNNNNNNNNNNNNNNGGCGGCGCGCGGGCCUCGGUGGCUAGCGACGGGCCAAGCGGGCCGGCGUCGCGGGGGCGGCGGACACGCCACGUGGCGGCGGCCGGUUGGCUCGAGAGGCAGGGGCGGAUGCGUCCGGCGCCGGGCGGACGUGUCCGACGCUCGGAGGAAGGGGAGACUAGGGUUUUGCCCGAAAAUUGGACGGGGAGGACAUAUUUAUAGGUAGGAGGAGUUUGGAGAGUCCAAAUGAGGUGUAGUUUUCGCCCACACGAUCGUGAUCCGACGACGGAGAGCAAGGAAGUGACUUAGAUGGGUUAUUGGGCUGUUUUGAAAGGGUGUUGGGCUGCAACCCAAAAGAGGCCUUUGCGGUUAUGCGGUUAACCGUUGGAGUAUCAAACGAGCUCCAAAUGACUCGAAACUUGACAGGUGGUCUACCGGUGGUGUACCAAGGCCACUUGACAAGCCUCGUCCCAUUCCGAGAACGUUUUAACACCCUCACAUGAAAAGAGACAAGAGGGGUGCGCCGGUGCACGUGGGAGUGUCGGAUUGCAAAACGGACAACGGGGAAAAUGCUCGGAUGCAUGAGAUGAACACGUAUGCAAAUGAGAUGCACAUGAUGACAUGAUAUGAGAUGCAUGACAUGAACAAAAUGCAAAACAAAAGACAAAACCCAACCACGGAGGGAAUAUCAUAGCACAUAGCCGAAAAUGGCAAGAGUUGGAGUUACAAAGAAGGAAAAUUACAUCCGGGGUGUUACAGAGGUGUCGGGCUCUGGUCAUCGAUCACGUUGAUCGAGGCAUCAAUGAUGAAGCAGGGGCAACAAGGACAAGGUGGGGGUCACUGAUUGAUCACUAACCAGCCUAUGCUAAGCAGUUUAGGAUAAGUAGGUAGGUAACUAUAGUAGGUACAAAAGCAGGCUAUGCAUCAGAAUAGGAGCAAACAAUAACAGUAGCAAAAUCUAAUGCAAGCAUGAGAGUAUAGAAUGGGCGAUAUCAGGAUGAUCAAAGGGGGGCUUGCCUGGUUGCUCAGACAAGAAGGAGGGUCGUCGUCGACGUAGUCGAUCACAGGGACAUCAGCAUCGGUCUCGGGGUCUACAGGAGAGAAGAGGGGGAAGAAAAAGUAAAUACAUAGCAGGCAAGUGCAUAACAGGACAACAACAGAGCUAGACGUGUACUAACACAGCGCUAGGCGAUACUGGCGAAGGGGGGAACAUCCGAGAAAGUAUUCUGGUUCCAGACGUCUGUCAGACAAAUGAACCGGAGGGGAAAAGUUGCAUGUUUGCUAUGCUAGGGAUGUGUGGUGGGCGAACAGACCGCGUAUUCGGAUUUGUCUCGUCGUUCUGAGCAACUUUCAUGUAGAAAACAAUUUCAUCCGAGUUACGGAUUAUUUUAUAUGCUUUUUCAAAGAUUUAAACAAUUUCUGGGAUUAUUCUUAAUUCGAAAAUAAAAUGGUUAAUUACACCCAAAAGUGUACCCAGCCGGAGUGCUCCUAUGGCUGACAGUGGGCCAGGGAGGUUCCAGUCAGCAGAGUUGACCCAGUCAACAUUUGAUCGGUCAAAAGGUCAAUAGGGUUUGGGUCCCACUUGUCAUUGGCUCAUCUAGCUAACUGGAGUUUUAAAAUAACUAUUCUACUUCAUUAGGUUAACUAAGAUUAAUUAAUUAAGUUAAUUAAAUAUCUAACUAAUUAUUUAUUUAUUUAUUUGUUAAUAUUAUUUUUUAAACCAUUUUUUUACAAAAAAGGGGGGCGUGGGCCCCACUGGGCAGUGGCCCAUAGAGCCAAUCUGGUGACAAGCGAACGGGUACAGGGGCGUGGAAGUGGGCGCCCGUACCCGAGGGGGGGGCGAACCCGAGCGAGGCAGGACGCUGGCGCCAGGUGCCGCCCAGGGCGUGGUCGCCGGCGACGAGGGGAGCCGCCGGAUGGACCAGUGGAGGAGGGAUGCGGCGGCGGUAGUGCGGCAGGGGAGAGCGGGGGUGAGCGCGGGCGCCGGCUCCAAGCGGGCCAGCCGGGGCCUUGGUGAGCAUCGACGAAGCACUUGGGCGAAGNNNNNNNNNNNNNNNNNNNNNNNNNNNNNNNNNNNNNNNNNNNNNNNNNNNNNNNNNNNNNNNNNNNNNNNNNNNNNNNNNNNNNNNNNNNNNNNNNNNNNNNNNNNNNNNNNNNNNNNNNNNNNNNNNNNNNNNNNNNNNNNNNNNNNNNNNNNNNNNNNNNNNNNNNNNNNNNNNNNNNNNNNNNNNNNNNNNNNNNNNNNNNNNNNNNNNNNNNNNNNNNNNNNNNNNNNNNNNNNNNNNNNNNNNNNNNNNNNNNNNNNNNNNNNNNNNNNNNNNNNNNNNNNNNNNNNNNNNNNNNNNNNNNNNNNNNNNNNNNNNNNNNNNNNNNNNNNNNNNNNNNNNNNNNNNNNNNNNNNNNNNNNNNNNNNNNNNNNNNNNNNNNNCGAAGCAAAGAGCACGAUGGGGGGCUGUAAGGGGCGAGGGGGAAAGAGGAGGCCGGGGGGGCCUCACCAGUGUUGGAGAGCAGGGGGCGUCGAGGCGUGGGGGCGUCCGAUGGGGAGGAGGAUGGGGACGGCCCGCGCAGGGGAGGAGGCGACGGCGUAGGGGACGGCGGGGAGGCAGUCCGGCGAGGUGGCGAUCCGGGCGGCGGCGAUGGGGCGGCGAGGCGUCCAGCAAGUCGGGGUUCCGUGGAGGAAGGCAAGGCGACGAGGGAGACGGCGUCGAGUGGCGCCAGGCGGCGUCCAGAUCGAGCGGGUGGAGCGCGGCGUAGUCAGGGUCGGUGUUGGGGCGCCGCGGGCGUCCAGCACAGAUCGGGAACAGAGGGAGGAGCGAGGGGAGUGUGGAGAGUGGGGGUUAGUGCUAGGGUUUCGGGGUGGGUGGCCUAAUAGGCCAGCGAAAGCGGGAGUGGGCCGGUUGGGCCGGCCAGCUGGGUUGGGCCGAUUGGCGGAGGCCCCGGUGGGCAGGGGGGCUUGCGGCCCUUUCUUCCUUUUAUUUUUUUGAUUUCUCUUUUUCUUUUAUUUACUUUUGUCCUUUGAUUUAAUUUUGGAAAUUGAAACCGAAAGUGAUUGAAUCAACGCAAGGUUAACAAGAGUAAAUGCGAUGACAGGGCAUCAUUAGCAUAGGAUUACUGUAGCAUAAUUAUCCGGGCAUCACAAUUCUCCCCCACUACAAGAAAUCUCGUCCCGAGAUUUAGUAGGUAGAAGGAAACAAGGCAGGGUAUUCUUCACGAAGACAAUCCUCGCGUUCCCAAGUGGCUUCGUCUAAGAGUGAUGCGACCACUGGACCUUGAGGAACUUGAUCGCCUUUUGACGUGUGUGGCGGUCAGCUUGGUCAAGUAUGCAGAGCGGAUGCUCUUUAUAGGAGAGGUCCUGUUGCAACUCGAGCACUUCAUGAUCCACUGCUCGAAUUGAGUCCUUGAAGUAGCGGCGGAGUUGUGACACGUGGAACACAUCGUGAACCUGAGAAAGGUUCGACGGAAGAUCCAACUGGUAUGCCACUUUUCCACGCCUUUCAAGAAUAGUGAAUGGAGCAAUAUAGCGAGGAGCUAGCUUGCCCUUGAUCCCAAAGCGGUGAGCACCCUUCAUUGGUGUGACUCGAAGAUAAGCCUUUUCACCAGGUUGAUAGACCAUGUCCUUAUGAUGACGGUCAUACUGACUCUUUUGACGUGACUGAGCAGGCUUGAGAUUCUCACGAAUGACGCGGACUUGUUCUUCGGCGUGUUGGAUAAUAUCCGGACUGAAGAGUGGAUGUUCUCGAGUUUCUAGCCAGUUCAGAGGGGUUCGGCACUUUCGUCCAUAUAACACUUCGAAGGGAGCCAUCUUCAGACUAGCUUGAUAGCUAUUGUUGUAAGAGAACUCAGCAUACGGGAGAGAUUUCUCCCAUUUCUUGCCGAAGGAAAUAACACAAGCUCGAAGCAUGUCUUCGAGAACUUGGUUGACGCGUUCAACUUGUCCCUGAGACUAAGGGUGAAAGGCGGUGCUGAAUGACAGAUGAGUUCCCAUAGCUUCUUGGAAACUUGCCCAGAAUCUUGAAGUGAAUAAGCUGCCACGGUCUGAGCAGAUUACCAGCAGAAUACCGUGAAGUGAAACAAUUCUAGACAUAUAGAGUGUUGCCAGCUGACUAGCAGUGAUCGUUUCUUUGACGGCCAGAAAUUGUGCAACCUUGGAAAGCCGGUCAAUGACAACAAGAAUAGCAUCAUUACCUUUCUGUGAUUUGGGAAAACCAGUGAUGAAGUCCAUUUCAACAUGGUCCCAUUUCCAUUCAGGAAUAGAGAUAGGUUGUAGAGUUCCAGCAGGCCUUUGAUGUUCUGCUUUGAUACGACGAAAAACGUCACACUAAGCAACAUAACGAGCAAUGUCUUGCUUCAUAUUAGACCACCAGAAUCUCUGACGAAUGUCUUGGUACAUCUUGGUGCUACCGGGAUGAAUAGACAAAGGUGUAUCAUGAGCUUCUUUCAUAACCCAUGGAGUUAGAUUCAGGUUUUCACUCGCACAUGGCACCACUAGGCGGCCCUUGAAGUACAAGGUGCCAUCAUCGGCAAUAGUGAAGAAUGAGGGCUUUCCUUCUGAGAGAUAGCGUUUAAUCUUCUCGACUUUAGAGUCAUAAUGUUGAAUAGUCUUGAUAUUGCCCACGAGAUCUGGCAUGACAGCGAGGGUAUUUAGAGAACCCUGAGGAACAACACGAAGAUUCAUCUUUUGAAACUCUGGGGGAGGGGGUGCAAGUGCACCAGGAGGAACAAUAUGGAGGUUCAGCUUUCUAAAUUCUUCAACAAGCGAGGGGUGAACUUUUCGAACCUCGAGGUGAUUGCAAUAUGACUUGCGGCUCAGAUCAUCAGCCAUUACAUUAGCCUUGCCUGGUGUAUAGGAAAUACCUAAGUCAAAAUCUGCUACCAUCUCCAUCCAUCUCUGCUGACGGAGGUUCAGGUCUGGCUGGUUAAACAAAUACUUCAGACUUUGGUGGUCGGUGAAGAUCUCACAGCGAUUACCGAGAAGGUAAUGUCGCCACUGUUUCAGUGCAUGUACGACAGCAACAAGCUCGAGGUCAUGAACUGGGUAGUUCUCUUCGUGAGGGCGCAACUGGCGAGAUGCAUAGGCAAUCACUAUGCACUCUUGUAUUAGGACACAGCCUAAUCCUUGACGUGAAGCGUCACAGUAAAUGAGGAAGUCGUUCUUAGUAUCAGGUGGAGCAAGCACUGGGGCAGAAGUCAGCUUGUCUUUGAGUGCCUGGAAACUUUCCUGACACUUUUCUGUCCAAUCAAACUUGACGCCCUUGUGAAGCAGACCAGUCAGGGGCUUGGCAAUCUUGGAGAAGUUCUCGACAAAUCGACAGCAAUAGCUGGCGAGUCCGAGAAAACUUCUGACUUGCUUGACAUUCUUCGGAGGAGUCCAAUCGAGAAUAGCCUAAACUCGCUCGGGGUUGAUAGCAAUACCAUCCUUGGAGAUGACAUGCCCAAGGUAGGUCACUUCAGGAAGCCAAAAUUCACAUUUAGAAUACUUUGCAUAGAGUUGAUGUUCUCGAAGCUUUUCCAGAACAAGUCGAAAGUGUUCAGCAUGUUCUUCUUUUUUCUUGGAAUAUACAAGGAUAUCAUCCAGAUAAACCACGACGAACUUGUCGAGGUAUUCCAUGAAUAUAUAGUUCAUCAGAUGAGAGAAUGUCGCUGGAGCAUUGGUCAAGCCGAAAGGCAUGACGGUGUACUCGUAUGAACCAUAGCGAGUCACAAAAGCAGUCUUGGGAAUAUCCUCUUCACGAACCCGAAUCUGGUGGUAACCCAACCUCAAAUCAAGUUUAGAGAAUACUGAGGAACCAGCAAGUUGAUCAUACAGAUCGUUGAUUCUGGGAAGCGGAUACUUGUUCUGAAUUGUUGCCUGGUUGAUAGGUCGGUAAUCUUGGACCAAACGAUUAGUUCCAUCCUUCUUCCUGACAAAGAGAGAAGGUGCUCCCCAAGCAGAUGAACUUGGAUGAAUGAAUCCCUUGUGAAGAGAUUUGUCGAUUUCCUCCUUAAGUUCAAGGAGUUCAUGUGGCGGCAUCUUGUAGGGUCGCUUGGCAAUAGGAGUUGUGCCCGGUUUCAAGUCUAUGACGAAUUCAAUAGCUCUAGCAGGGGGUAUUCCUGGAAGUUCUUCUGGGAAGACAUCUUUGAAAUCACAAACAACUGGAAUGUUCUCUAUUCCCUCAAGAGGUGAAGCAUUCAAUGCAUUCAGAACAUAUAUCUGGUUCUCGGCAUCCUGAGCUACUCGAGCUGAGUAAUGGACUAUCUGGCCAGAAGGGUGGGUGAGCUGGACUGUCCUGGUAGCACAAUCGAUCUUAGCACUAUGGGCUUUCAGCCAAUCCAUACAGAGAAUGACAUUUAUGGUAGAACCCUUGAGGGCCAUGAGUGAAGCAGAGAACACUAAUCCUCCAAUUACAAUGUGGUUGUUGUGGGCUACCAUCGAGGUAUCCCACCUGGAUCCUGGAGAGUUAAUCACCAGCGGAGGGUACACAUUUUCAAAUGAUAAGUCUUGUUCGCGGGCAAAUGCCUCAGAUAUGAAGGAAUGUGGCGCUCCUGAAUCAAAAAGAACGAAUGCUGGCACUGAGUUGACGAGGAAGGUUCCCAUCACGACAGUCGGUUCCUUCUGAGCCUUAUCAACAUCGAUGUGGUUGGCCUGGCCAAGUAUAACAGCAGACAGUUGGGUAUUGUUGUUUCUGGAUCGAUAGCUUCGACGACUCUUCUUACAACCCACAGCAGAACGCGAUGCAAUUUUAGGCUGAUCCUGGCGACAAUUGAGAGUAGGGUGCCCUGGCUGUCCACACUUGCGGCAUAAACCAUCAUUAUUGGGAGGAGCUACAACAUUGUACUGUCCACCCUGAGCCGUUAGCAGUCUCGGCGGCGGAGGCAGACGAGGUGCAACAUAAGACGGCCUUGGUGUUGGAGCAGGUCGGUGAUGAACAUUGUGUGGGACCCAGACUUGACGUUUCUGAGCGGGCUGACUCGACGAUGGGCCAACAUCGCGAGUACGCUUGAGCGACUCUUGGCACUCAAUAAGACCAGUUUCAGUUUGGAAAGCUUGGUUGACAAGCGUCGCAAAGUCUGCACAAUCAUGAGCAACAAGUGCGAGCUUUAUAUCAGGAUGCAGUCCUUCACAAAAUUUCUCCUGCUUGCGAGCAUCAGUGUAGACGUCAUCCGCAGCAUAGUGAGAUAAUUCAAGGAAUUUCCUCUGAUAUUCAUCCACAGUCAUUGAGCCUUGUGAGAGUUUGCGGAACUCCUUCUUCUUCUGGUCCAUCAGACCUUGAGGAAUAUGUCGUGCACGGAAGGCUAACUGAAAUUCCUGCCAAGUGGUUACAGUCUCUGCAGGCAGCAUACCGCUAUGGCUUUCCCACCAUUGAGCAGUUGAACCCUUCAGGUGAAAUGUCGCAAAGGUGACAUAACUGGCAGGGGCAACAUUAGCCGACUCCAUCUCAAACAGGAUGUCAUGAAGCCAAUCAUCAGCAUCCAUAGGAUUAGUGGAGUUGCGGAAAAUGGACGGGUUGAGGCGCACGAAUUCUUGUAGUGUUAUUGGGGCAGGCUGUUGAUGAGCAUUCUGGUUUGGAAGCUGAGCCAUUACUCCAGUCAUAAACUGACGAUUCAGCUCAAACUGCUGCAUCAUUGAGGCAAUAUAGGGUGGAGGUGGAGGAUCGUCAGCCAUCCUACUAAAACAUCAGGAAGACAUUUAACAGGGGUGGAGCAGGUGUAUAGAGUCAUUCAUGAUGUAACUUGAACAAUGAGCAAAGGCGCAGUAUGUACAAAUUAGUAGUCAUUAAAGACUUACAUAUACAUAUACAGAGCCAAUUACACGUUGUUAGUAGGAGUUCGGACAAGAGAAUCAUCCUAGACAUACUAGGCGGCACACAUGCACACGAUGGAAGGAUACAACAACGAGACAUAGCAAAGGCUACAUCAUCGUCGGAGAAAACCAGUAGAGCGAGGAAUCUGCAGGGGACGACGCAGGGUGCCCUCGAUAUGAAGGAUUUCUGCGGCCCGUGGACAAAGUGAAGCAGAUCCUGGCUCCCAAUUCAAGAAAGGCAUGAUACAAUUCUCCGAGUGGAGAUGAUCACGAGAAUCUAGGGUAGAGUUAGUAAAACCAUUUAACCCGAAUAGAAGAGAGAUCAGAGUCCCAGGGUAUAGAAGAGGAGUAAAAGAUCCUAAUACCACCCAAUGGCGACGUGGGCCCGUAAGCCACACAGCCAUGUUAGUAAAUUAGUUUUUUUUUCAAAGACUAGACUCAACUUCGGCCAAGGAGUUGGAAAGGGGGAUCCUACAGGCAGUCGGCUCUGAUACCAACUUGUGACGCCCCCGAUUCAAUCGUACACUAAUCAUACACGCAAACGUGUACGAUCAAGAUCAAGGACUCACGGGAAGAUAUCACAACACAACUCUAAACACAAAUAAAAGAAUACAAGCUUUAUAUUACAAGCCAGGGGCCUCGAGGGCUCGAAUACAAAAGCUCGAUACACAAGAGUCAGCAGAAGCAACAAUAUCAGAGUACAGACAUAAGUUAAACAGGGAUGCCUUAAGAAGGCUAGCACAAAAGCAACAUGAUGGAAGAGGCAAGGCCUCCUGCCUGGGACCUCCUAACUACUCCUGGUCUUCGGUGGCCUCCAUGUAGUAGUAUCCGUCGGCGGUGGCAUCUGGUUCCAAGGAUCCACCAUCUGGUUGCAUCAACCGGAAAGAAGAAGGAAGGGGGAAAAAGGGGGAGCAAAGCAACAGUGAGUACUCAUCCAAAGUACUCGCAAGCAUAAGAUCUAUACUAAGUAUGCACUGGUAUCAAAUGGAAGGUUUGUAUCUGUGGACUGAAUUGCAGAAUGCCAGAAUAGAGGGGGAGGGCCUAGCCUAUCAAAGACUAGCAUCUUCACGCAGCUCCGAGCAUCUUGCAGGAUGUAGAAGAGUAAAGAAUACAAGUUUAUAAUUAACAAGCAUGUUGUAACAUUAAUGCCCAGAGAUCCUUCCUCGACUCCCUGUGAGAAAGCAAUCCCGUAGCCACAUAUCCAUCACAUAUCAAGUAUCCAUUUCUAGUUGUAUAAGAUCAGGAUACAAGUCUGAACGUCCAUUAUCGAGGACACGAUAUUUGAAUAAAGAUCUUCCCUGCAGGGGUGCACCAUGUUACCCAACACGCUCGAUCACUCUGGCCGGACACACCUUUCUGGGGUCAAUGCCCGCCCUGGAAAGAUCAACACGUCGCAGCCCUACCUAGGCUCAACAGAGAGGUCCCCGCCGGUCUACAUCCUAAGCACUCCGGGGUCUGGGCCCAUCGCCCGUUGCACUCCAGGUCGUUGUGCGCAAGGGGAUACCAGCACCACCCGUGAAGUGGAUGGCACGAUCCGGCCCGGCCACAAUGCUGAACUGGACAUCUUACAGAGCUUCGGCUGAUACUGCGACGUCGAGGCCCAUAACUAUUCUCGCAUGGUGGUUAGUGCAUAAAGGCCAGAGGCCAACUCAGAACAAAUACCCAAACCUGUUAGUGCAUUAUUAAAAGGAGUGACGGCUGUCGGGACAAGUCCGGAGCUAUCACCCCUCCUGGGUGAUACCGCUAAACAGCCAGCCGCCACCGUCACAUCGCACGGGUGCUCUCCGGGCCCGCCCGGCUUUCACAUUGGUCUCUAGUAAAGUCAAGGUAACUGUGUGUCCAGACAUCAUGGGGAAAACCCGAGGAAUCACCCCCCGUAGAUUCCACUCAAUGUAAUCAUCAAGGUGAACGUAAGAGGGACCACCCUCGAGGUUCACACUUGAGGUGUUGAACGACAGUGCUGUAUCGGGAAUGGUGAAAGAGGAAAUCACCCUCGAUGACCACGACCGAAUAGCUACACUACAGAAUUAUCAUCAGGAGUGCGUUAUGAGGGAUCACCCUCGGCACUCGAUAGUAGCUCUGCAGAGUCGAGCAACUAAAGGGGCGUGAUGUGAUGUGAGGUGUCGGGCUCUGGUCGUCGAUCACGUUGAUCGAGGCAUCGAUGAUGAAGCAGGGGCAACAAGGAUAAGGUGGGGGGUCACUGAUGGAUCACUAACCAACCUAUGCUAAGCAGUUUAGGAUAAGCAGGUAGGUAACAAUAGCAGGUACAAAAGCAUGCUAUGCAUCAGAAUAGGAGCAAAUAAUAACAGUAGAAAAAUCUAAUGCAAGCAUGAGAGUAUAGAAUAGGCGAUAUCGGGAUGAUGAAAGGGGGGCUUGCCUGGUUGCUCAGACAAGAAGGAGGGUCGUCGUCGACAUAGUCGAUCACAGGGACAUCAGCAUCGGUCUCAGGGUCUAUCGGAGAGAAGAGGGGGAAGAAACAGUAAAUACAUAGCAGGCAAGUGCAUAACAGGACAACAGACAGAGCUAGACGUGUUCUAACGCAGCGCUAGGCGAUAAUGGCGAAGGGGGAAACAUCCGAGAAAGUAUUCAGGUUCCGGACGUCUGUCAGACAGAUGAAUCGGAGGGGAAAAGUUGCAUGUUUGCUAUGCUAGGGAUGUGUGGCGGGCGAACAGAUCCUGUAUUCGGAUUCGUCUCGUCGUUCUGAGCAACUUUCAUGUAGAAAACAAUUUCAUCCGAGUUACGGAUUAUUUUAUAUGAUUUUUCAAAGAUAUAAACAAUUUCUGGGAUUAUUCUUAAUUCAAAAAUAAAAUGGUUAAUUGCUAGAUACACCCAAAAGUGUACCCAGCCGGAGUGCUCCUAUGGCUGACAGCAGGCCAGGGAGGUUCCAGUCAGCAGAGUUGACCCACUCAACAUUUGACCGGUCAAAAGGUCAAUAGGGUUUGGGUCCCACUUGUCAUUGGCUCAUCUAGCUAACUGCAGUUUUAAAAUAACUAUUCUACUUCAUUAGGUUAACUAAGAUUAAUUAAUUAAGUUAAUUAAAUAUCUAACUAAUUAUUUAUUUAUUUAUUUGUUAAUAUUAAUUUUUUAACCUUUUUUACAGAAAAGGGGGGCGUGGGCCCCACUGGGCAGUGGCCCAUAGAGCCAAUCAGGCGACGGGCGAACGGGCCCAGAGGCGUGGAAGUGGGCGCCCGUACCCGAGGGGGGGGCGAACCCGAGCGAGGCAGGACGCUGGCGCCAGGCGCCGCCCGGGGCAUGGUCGCCGGCGACGAGGGGAGCCGUCGGAUGGACCAGUGGAGGAGGGAUGCGGCGGCGGUAGUGCAGCAGGGGAGAGCGGGGGUGAGCGCGGGCGCCGGCUCCAAGCGCGGCCAGCCGGGGCCUCGGUGAGCAUCGACGAAGCACUGGGGCGAAGCAAAGAGCACGACGGGCGGCUGUAAGGGGCGAGGAGGAAAGAGGAGGCCGGGGGGGCCUCACCAGCGUUGGAGAGCAGGGGGGGUGUCGAGGCGUGGGGGCGUCCGAUGGGGAGGAGGAUGGGGACGACCCGCGCAGGAGAGGAGGCAAUGGCGUAGGGGACGGCGGGGAGGCAGUCCGGCGAGGUGGCGAUCCGGGCGGCGGCGACGGGGCGGCGAGGCGUCCAGCAAGGCGGGGCUCCGUGGGGGAAGGAGAGGCGACGACGGAGACGGCGUCGAGUGGCGCCAGGCGGCGUCCAGAUCGAGCGGGAGGAGCGCAGCGUAGUCGGGGUCGGCGUUGGGGCGCCGUAGGCGUCCAGCCCAGAUCGAGAACAGAGGGAGGAGCGAGGGGAGUGGGGAGAGUGGGGGUUAGCGCUAGGGUUUCGGGGUGGGUGGCCUAGUAGGCCAGCGAAAGCGGGAGUGGGCCGGUUGGGCCGGCCAGCUGGGUUGGGCCGGUUGGCCGAGGCCCCGGUGGGCAGGGGGGCUUGCGGCCCUUUCUUCCUUUUAUUUUUUUGAUUUCUCUUUUUCUUUUAUUUACUUUUGCCGUUUGAUUUAAUUUUGAAAAUUGAAACCAAAAGUGAUUGAAUCAACGCAAGGUUAACAACAGUAAAUGCGAUGACAGGGCAUCAUUAGCAUAGGAUUACUGUAGCAUAAUUAUCCAGGCGUCACAAGGGGAUGCCUUCCGGGGCAUCCCCAUGCUUAGGCUCUUGGUUGUCCUUGAAUAUUACCUUAGGGGUGCCUUGGGCAUCCUCAAGCUUAGACUCUUGCCACUCCUCAUUUUAUAGUCCAUCAAAUCUUUACCCAAAACUUGAAAACUUCACAACACAAACUCAACAGAAAAUCUCAUAAGCUUCGUUAGUAUAACAAAAUAAAUCACCACUUUAUGGUACUGUUGUGAACUCAUUGUUUACUUAUAUUGGUAUAAUAUCUACUGUAUUCCAACUUUUUCAUUGUUUGUACCCCCGAUACUACCCAUAGAUUCAUCAAAAUAAGCAAACAACACACGGAAAACAGAGUCCGUCAAAAACAAAACAGCCUAUAGCAAUCUGUAACUCUCGAAUACUUCUGUAACUCCAAAAAUUCUGAAACAUUAUUACAACCUAGGAAAUUUGUGUAUCAAUCCAGAGCAAAAAGAAUCAGAUCAAAAUCACGAUUCAAUAAAAUCCAGGAAAUUAUUUACUCGGCGCAAAAGUUUCUGUUUUUUAGCAGGAUCAAAACAACUAUCACCGUAAGCUAUCCCAAAGGUCUUACUUGGCACAAACACUAAUUAAAACACAAAACCACAUCUAAACAGAGGCUAGAUUAAUUAUUCAGAGCAAAACAGGAACAAAAAUCAAAGAACAAAAAUAAAAUUGGGUUGCCUCCCAACAAGUGCUAUUGUUUAACGCCCUUAGCUAGGCAUAAAACACGAAUAGAUCUAGGUAUAAUCAUAGUAAUGAUAAUGCAAAUCUCGAAACUCAUACUCCCUUCGUCCAGCAGAAAGUUUUCUUUGUCGUAAGCAAAAGUAAUCAAAAGGGCUAAAUUUACUGGGAUAAGAAUCCCCAAGAUCAAGCUUAGGAGGAAUUGGUUCCUCCUUUGGCCCUUCAUAUUGUAUAACCAACUCAUCAUUGUAAGCGUUCUUUUGGCAAAAAGUCAUGAGCUUGUGACCAAGAGAGAAACCGAAUCAAUUGUUUUGAAUAGCAAAAUUAUCAUUAAAGCUCAGAAACCUUAUCAACUAAAACAUCGGUAGGGACCCUCUUUCUUAAAUUUUCAUUAUAAGCAACAUGAUCUAGAGAUCAUAAACGCAUUAUGUCCUCUUGGUUAAAGAGAAUUCCUUCUAUGGGAGGACGACCACCAUCUACUUUAUAAUGCGCGAAAAUUUCACUAGCUUCUUUCAUAAUAAAUCUAAACUGAUGUGCUAGAAAUAUAGUGGCGGCAUGCUUAACAGAAGAAUGCUCAAUAUUAGAAAACUCUAGAAAAAUCCUUUGUAUGGAUGGAUGCAUAUGAACAAAUUUUCUUUCAAGUCCAACCACGAGCAAAGAUAUAGCAUCCGCAAGACUACUAGUUCUAUGGAGAAUAGAUCCACCUAAUGUGGGUAACGCACCGACACAAGUAAAGAAAUCCUGAACAACCCCUUUUCCAAUAAUAUUGCCGCUACCAAUGCGAAGUUUUUUAGUGUGUAAAAUAGUAGAUUCUUCAUGAGGAUUAGUAUUAGCAAAAGCAUCAAAGUUUCCCCCAUCGUUAUUACUAUUCUUUUCAGUAAUAACCCCCCCCCCCCAAUUUCAGACAUGAUGGCAACAAACCAAUCCAGCAAACAAGCAAAAAAGCAAGGGAAGAAGACNNNNNNNNNNNNNNNNNNNNNNNNNNNNNNNNNNNNNNNNNNNNNNNNNNNNNNNNNNNNNNNNNNNNNNNNNNNNNNNNNNNNNNNNNNNNNNNNNNNNNNNNNNNNNNNNNNNNNNNNNNNNNNNNNNNNNNNNNNNNNNNNNNNNNNNNNNNNNNNNNNNNNNNNNNNNNNAGACGAACAAAAGAGGGGCGAAGAAAAGGCAAAUCUUUUCGAAAAUCAUUUAGAAGUGGGGGAGAGGAAAACGAGAGGCGAAUGGUGAAUAAUGUCAUGCAAGAGAUGAGAGUUUAUGACGGGUACUUGGUAUGUCUUGACUUGGCGUAGAUCUCCCCGGCAACGGCGCCAUAAAUUCUUCCUGUUACUUCUUGAGCCUGUGUUGGUUUUUUCCUUGAAGAGGAAAGGGUGAUGCAUCAAAGUAGAGAUAAGUAUUUCCCUCAGUUUGAGAACCAAGGUAUCAAUCCAGUAGGAGACAACGCACAAAUCACCAGAUACCUGUACAAACAAUCAAACAAGCUUGCACCCAAUGGGAUAAAGGGGUUGUCAAUCCCUUCACGGUUACUUGCAAAAGUGAGAUUUGAUAGAGAUAGAUAAACGAUAAAGUAACUAUUUUAGAUAUUUUUGGUUUAUAGAUCGGAAAGUAAAAGAUUGCAAGAAUAGUAGAUUGAAAACUAAAACUGUAGAUCGAAAACUUGUAUGAUGGAAAAUAGACCCGGGGGCCAUAGGUUUCACGAGUGGCUUGAACAAAUUACUGCCGAGCAAUUGAUAGAAAAGCGCAAAGUUAUGAUGAUAUCUAACGCAAUGAUCAUGAAUAUAGGCAUCACGUCUGUGUCAAGUAGACUGACUCCUGCCUGCAUCUAUUGCUAUUACUGCACACAUCGACCGCUAUCCAGCAUGCAUCUAGAGUAUUAAGUUCAUAAAGAACAGAGUAACACAUUAAGUAAGAUGACAUGAUGUGGAGGAAUUAACUCAAGCAAUAUGAUGAAAACCCCAUCUUUUUAUCCUCGAUGGCAACAAUACAAUACGUGCCUUGGUGCCCCUACUGUUACUAGGAAAGGACACCACAAGAUUGAACCCAAAGCUAAGCACUUCUCCCAUUGCAAGAAAAAUCAAUCUAGUUGGCCAAACCAAACCGAUAGUUCGAAGAGAAUUACAAACAUAUCAAAUUAUGCAUAAAAGAAUUCAGAGAAGAUUCAAAUAAUAUUCAUAGAUAAGCUGAUCAUAAAUCCACAAUUAAACGGAUCUCGGCAAACACAUCGCAAAAAAGCAUUACAUCGAAUAGAUCUCCGAGAACAUCGAGGAGAACAUGGUAUUGAGAAUUAAAAAGAGAGAAGAAGUCGUCUAGCUACUAGCUAUGGACCCGUAGGUAUGUGGUACAUACUCGUGCUUCAUCGGAAGGGCAAUGGUGUUGAUGUAGAAGCCCUCCAUGCUCGAAUCUCCCUCCAGCAGGACAUCGGAAAAGGCCCCUAGAUUGGAUCUCAUGGGUACAGAAGGUUGCGGUGGCGGAAAAGUGUUUCCGUGGAUGCCUCUGUUGCGGUGGCGGGGGUGGCGGGGGUGGGGGGUGGGGGGAGCCCUGCUGGUGACAUGCCAGCACAUUUCUAUCAUGAUUAUUCACAUCUGCGUCGUCUUAAUGGCGGUUCAUAUUAUUAACAUUCAAAUUCUGGCAAUGUAAGAAAUAACAAUGUCAAGAUAGACAUUGAAUAGGGUUUCACGGACACCAGACACAAACCACACCAACACAUGAUGCAAGACUCUAGAUAAUGUUAUCUGUCAUAGACGACACCAAGGUGUUCAGUUCACUCUCUGCGCAAUUCGCUAGAGCCUAAGACAAGCUUUCAUUUAUCCAACAUGUUGGAGGAUCAAUCAUGGAGGCAGGCCACAUAUCAGGUCAUCUUUUUGGAACAAGAACACUUCCCGUGUUCCCAUCGUCAACGUGUCCUUCCGGAACACUUUGAUUUUUAGAUGCGCCUUUGGGCGAUUCUGGAAAAUCAAUAUGGCCCCUCACUGAACUUCUGAGUCCAUUUGCCAUCUCAUGAUCCCUGCAAAGAUUUUGCACUUACCACAAAUUCUGAAAGUAGAACAGACAGAGGACACAGAUGACUAUAUAUGAUGACAAAAGGACGAGGGCAAAAGCUACCUACAAUAAAACACAGUCCGGCCCACAAUCUCCCAUCUCCUCUAUAUCUUACCUAUAAUACCACCAGAGAUUUUCCUACAAUACAAAAACAAAGGGUCAACAAAAGAAAAUACAUCAAAGCAGACAAUAUCACCAGGAGCUCUUUGAUACAGAUGUGGAUGUCGCAAUAUCAUCACUAUUAUGCUUGGUUUUGGAAGAGUGUAUCCAACAGGAUGCACCUGACUAUGACCAAUUGUGCUUGCACAACAUCAGGGAAUGAUUUUUGAGACAUGCAUAGCGGUUGGAGAUGCAUAUAACUGCAUGCCUUUCUACUUUGGGCUCGGGCUUGAACCUCUGAUCGUGUGAGGCGAUGCAUGACUCUAUGGGAUGGUUUCAUCGUGUAUGUUACAUAGAAAAAUAGGUUGUACUAUAUACAUGUUGGGGACCGUAGUAAUUUCAAAAAAAUUCCUACGUACACACAAGAUCAUGGUGAUGCAUAGCAACGAGAGGGGAGAGUGUUGUCCAUGUACCCUCGUAGACCGAAAGCGGAAGCGUUAGCACAACGCGGUUGAUGUAGUCGUACGUCUUCACGAUCCGACCGAUCCAAGUACUGAACAUACGACACGUCCGAGUUCAGCACACGUUCAGCUCGAUCACGUCCCAUGAACUUCGAUCCAGCAGAGCUUUGCGGGAGAGUUCCGUCAGCACGACGGCAUGAUGACGGUGUUGAUGAUGCUACUGACGCAGGGCUUCUCCUAAGCACCGCUACGAUAUUACCGAGGUGGAAUAUCAUGGAGGGGGGCACCACACACGGCUAAGAGAUCAAUGAUCAAUUGUUGUGUCUAGAGGUGCCCCCCUGCCCCCGUAUAUAAAGAAGCAAGGGGGGAGGCCGGCCAGCCUUGGGGCGCACCAAGGAGGGGAGGAGUCUUCCUCCUAGUAGGAGUAGGACUCCCCUCUUUCCUAGUCCAACUAGGAAAAGGAAGGGGGAAGGAAGGAGAGGGAAAGGAGAAGGAAAGGGGGCGCACCCCCUUCCUAGUCCAAUUAGGACCCCCUAUAGGGAGGGGGGCAGCUGCCCCUUGUGGGCUGCCUUCCCUCUUCCCUAUGGCCCAUGUAGGCCCAAUAGUCCCCCCGGGGUUUCUGAUAACCCCUUGGCACUCCGAUAAAUACCUGAAUCACUCGGAACCUUUCCGAUGUCCGAAUAUAGUCGUCCAAUAUAUUGAUCUUUACAUCUCGACCAUUUCGAGACUCCUCGUCAUGUCCCCAAUCUCAUCAGGGACUCGGACCUACCUUCGGUACAUCAAAACACAUAAACUCAUAAUAUAACCGUCAUCGAACUUUAAGCGUACGGACCCUACGGGUUCGAGAACUAUGUAGACAUGACCGAGACACGUUUCCUGUCAAUAACCAAUAGCGGAACCUGGAUGCUCAUAUUGGCUCCCACAUAUUCUACGAAGAUCUUUAUCGGUCAAACCACAUAACAACAUAUGUUGUUCCCUUUGUCAUAGGUAUGUUACUUGCCCGAGAUUCGAUUGUCGGUAUCUCAAUACCUAGUUCAAUCUCGUUACCGGCAAGUCUCUUUACUCAUUAUGUAAUGCAUCAUCCCGCAACUAACUCAUUAGUCACAUUGCUUGCAAGGCUUAUAGUGAUGUGCAUUACCGAGAAUGCCCAAAGAUACCUCUCCGAUAAUCAGAGUGACAAAUCCUAAUCUCGAAAUACGCCAACUCAACAUGUACCUUCGAAGACACCUGUAGAGCUCCUUUAUAAUCACCCAGUUAUGUUGUGACGUUUGGUAGCACACAAAGUGUUACUCCGGUAAACGGGAGUUGCAUAAUCUCAUAGUCAUAGGAACAUGUAUAAGUCAUGAAGAAAGCAAUAGCAACAUACUUAACGAUCAACUGCUAAGCUAACGGAAUGGGUCAAGUCAAUCACAUCAUUCUCUAAUGAUGUGAUCCCGUUAAUCAAAUGACAACUCAUGUCUAUGGUUAGGAAACUUAACCAUCUUUGAUUAACGAGCUAGUCAAGUAGAGGCAUACUAGUGACACUAUGUUUGUCUAUGUAUUCACACAUGUACUAAGUUUCCGGUUAAUACAAUUCUAGCAUGAAUAAUAAACAUUUAUCAUGAAAUAAGGAAAUAAAUAAUAACUUUAUUAUUGCCUCUAGGGCAUAUUUCCUUCAGUCUCCCACUUGCACUAGAGUCAAUAAUCUAGUUCACAUCAUCAUGUGAUUUAACACCAAUAUUCACAUCUGUAUGUGAUUAAUACCCAUAGUUCACAUCGUCAUGUGAUCAACACCCAAAGGGUACUUAAGGUAUGAUCAUGUUUUGUCGUGAGAGAAGUUUAGUGAACAGGUCUGUCACAUUCAGAGUCGUAUGUAUUUUGCAAAUAUUCUAUGUCUACAAUUCUCUGCACGGAGCUACUCUAGCUAAUUGUUCCAACUUCCAAUAUGUAUCCAGAUUGAGACUUAGAGUCAUCUAGAUUGGUGUAAAAGCUUGCACUGAUGUAACUCUUUACGACGGGCUCUUUUAUCACCUCCAUAAUCAAGAAAUAUUUCCUUAGUCCUCACUAAGGAUAAUCUUGACCACUGUCUAGUGAUCUACUCUAAGAUCAAAAUUGUACUCCCUUGCCAAACUCAGAACAAAGUAUACAAUAGGUUUUGUACACAGCAUAGCAUACUUUAUAGAACCUAUGACUGAAGGCAUAGGGAAUGAAUUUUCAUUCUCUUUCUAUUUUCUGCCAUGGUCGGGUUUUCAGUCUUACUCAACUUUACACCUGGCAACCCAGGCAAGAACUCCUUCUUUGAGUGUUCCAUUUUGAACUACUUCAAAAACUUAUCAAGGUAUGUACUCACUGAAAAAUCUUAUCAAGCGUCUUGAUCUAUCUCUGUAGAUCUUGAUGUCCAAUGUGUAAGCAACUUCACCGAGGUCUUUCAUUGAAAAACUUUUAUUCAAGUAUCCUUUUAUGCUAUCCAAAAAUUCUAUAUCAUUUCCAAUCAACAAUAUGUCGUCCACAUAUAAUAUCAGAAAUGCUACAGAUCUCCCACUCACUUUCUUGUAAAUACAGGCUUCUCCAGAAGUCUGUAUAAAACCAUAUGCUUUGAUCACACUAUCAAAGCGUUUAUUCCAACUCCGAGAGACUUGCACCAGUCCAUAAAUGGAUCCCUGGAGCUUGCACACUUUGUUAGCACCUUUCAGAUCGACAAAACCUUUUUUUGGAACGAAGACGCUAGAAGCGUCUGGCUUUAAAUUAAUAAAGCCCAUACGACAACAAGGUUCAAACGGUUACAAACUUAGCAAACUAAAAAGAGUAGCAACGGUCCACGACCAGCACGGGAAGGACAUAAGGUUCAUCGCGUCAACAAUAUUACAGCCAUCCAAACAGCACACCGCACCACCCAAGCUAAGAGACUUGCCACAGAAGUCACUCCAAAAUCCUUUUCAGCUCGUCGGGUCCUGUCUUGCUUGUGCCUGAAUCGCCUUGAUGCGCUCCAUGGCUUCUGUCAUGCGCUCAACAUCGCGCUCCUUCCCCAGAGGGGUCCACAUCUGCAAAAAUAGGUGGCAUUUGAAGAUCACGUCUCCAGGAUGGUGAGGAAAUUUUUUCUCGAUGGUAAUCUUAUUAUGCAUCGUCCAAAUAGCCCAAAGCAUCGCCCCUACGCAUCGCCAAACUAUUCUACUUGAAGUCCCUUUAGUGGACUUUAGGAUGGUGACAAGUUGGUGCCCUGAGGCAGGGUUCCAGUCCGUGUGGAAGGCCUCCCGAGCCGCACUCCACGCGAACCUGGCCAAAUGGCAUCUGAAAAAUACAUGGUUCGCAUCUUCGCCAAGUCCACAAACCGAGCAAGUACCGUCUGCCGGACCAUUUCGUUUGGCCACAUUAUCUGACGUAGGCAGCCUAUUCCUAAGCAUUUGCCACAUGAAGAUUUUUAUCUUCAAAGGCAGGCCUGCCUUCCACAGCCUCUUAGCUAUAUCAAGCGCUGGCCCUUCCGUGAGCUUGUUAUACAGGGACUUAACCAAGAACUUCCGUGAAGCAGUCAGGUUCCACUCUACCGUGUCAACCGUCGUCCCUAGACGGUUGGCACCGAUCAGCUGAAUCAACCCAUCCCAAGAUGCAUGCUCUUCGUUCGUAAGGGACCGCAUAAAGUGAAUCGCCAGAGGGUCAGUGCGGAUUGCCUCCCCAACUAAGACGUUUGUGUUAGUGGCUAUCCGAUAAAGGUUGGGGUGGCUUUGCCAAAGGGGGGAAGUACCCAGCCAAUGAUCGAGCCAAAACCGGGCUGAUUGGCCAUUGUUAAUCUGAAAUUUGGCCCCAAUGUCAAAAGCCGGCCGCACCGCUUGGAGCCCUCUCCAAAACACGGAGCCGUUGGCCGAGGCCGUGAAGGGGUUCCCGUUUGGGAAGUACUUGGACCUUAACAGUCUCGCCCAGAGCCCCGACUCAUCUUGGGCCAACGGCCACCACCAUUUGGCAAGGAGGGCGACGUUCAUUAGUUUGGAAUUGAGAAUUCCCAAUCCACCAUAUUUUUUUGGCCUACAAACAGCCGCCCAUUUGACAAGGUGGUAUUUCCUCUUGAUUCCAGUUCCUUCCCAAAAGAACCGUGAUCUCGGAGUAUCUAGCUCUGCGUGAACGCCGUUAGCUAGCAAGAACAUCCCCAUUGUGAAAAGGGGAAGAGAAGAGAGGCUCGAGUUUGUCAGAAUAAGCCUUGCGGCCGAGGACAUGAAUCUCCCACGCCACGGGCUUACCCUGUUGGCCACUUUCCCGUACAGGGGCUCCCACUCAAAAAUCGAAAGUUUGCGGUGAGAUAUAGGAAGCCCAAGGUACUUAAUUCGAAAGCUCCCCAGCUUGCAAUUAAGUAGGUUUGCGACACGUGUGCUGUGUUGGUCUUCCAUCCCCAUGGUAAUGACCUCACUCUUAAGAAAGUUAAUCUUGAGUCCGGAGAGGAGCUCAAAAGCUAAUAGCAAGAGCUUUAUCGUAGCAAUACUAUGGUCGUCCGGGUUAAACAGCAGCAAGGUGUCGUCAGCAUAUUGGAGGUGUGUCACACCACCUGAAAUGAGGUGUGGGACAAGCCCCUUGAUGUGUCCCGCCUCCCUGGCUUUGGACAACAUGGCAGCCAAAGCGUCCGCCACAAAGUUAAAGACGAGGGGGAAAACGGGGUCGCCUUGUCUAAGUCCUUUCCUAUUACAAAAGAACUUACCCAUAUCUCCAUUGACAAUAACUGAGGUGUUGCCACUCGAGAUCAGAUGCAUGAUCCGGUGGACGAACCCUGCCUCAAAACCCUUUUUGAGGAGGACCUCCCGUACAAACUCCCAGUUAACACGAUCGUAUGCUUUUUCGAAAUCUAAUUUGAGGAUGAUGCCCUGGCCCUGCGAACGUUUCAACUCAUGUAUAAUCUCCGUAAGGGUAAUAGGCCCUUCCAGGAUGUUCCUGCCUUUAAGGAAAGUGGUCUGGCUAGUGCUAAUGACACGUUGAGCGACCGACGCUAACCUAGAGGCAUAGGCCUUGGCACAAAUCUUGAAUGGAACGUUUAUGAGCAUGAUCGGCCGGAACUGCUUAAUAGAAUCCGCCCCUUUAACCUUGGGGAUCAGGCAUAUGGCCCCAUAAUUGAGACGCGACAGGUCCACCGAACCAAGGGUAAAGCCAUUGAGAAUCGCUAGAAACAAGGCCCUAAGCGCCGGCCAAAACCGUUUAAAGAACUCCACCGGCCAUCCAUCCGGGCCAGGAGCCGUGCCGUUCUUCAUGCCAGCAAGCGCACUAUCGAGCUCUUACGUCGAAAAGGACACCAUCAAGGCGUCAUUUUCCUGCUGCGAAACACGCUUGUGCAAGCCCCAUAAGUCUUCCCUGAGACUUAAACUCUUUACUUCGGUUGUACCCAACAGCUCGACGAAGAAAUCAAAGAUGUGCUUAACUAUUUCGUUUUGGGUGACCAGGGUCCCGCCCUCCGACUAGAGCCUAAGAAUCAUGCUCUUGCGCUUACGACCAUUAGCGUAAGCGUGGAAGUAUCCUGUGUUUGCGUCGCCUUUCACGACCCACUUAACGCCGCCCCUGCGGCGCCAAUACUCCUCCUCUGCCCUGAGAAUAGCCAAGACUUGGUGCUCUAAGGAGUAUCUAUACUCCCAUUCGUCCCCAGAGAAGGUUCUCAUGUCCGCCUGCGCGUCUAAGAGAGCGAUUUCAUUCACUAUGCGCUCCCGAACCCUUUUAGAUUCGCUGCCAUGAUUGGCCCCCCAACCCCUGAGGAAAGCCCGUAAGGCGGCGGCAGCAGAGGACCAUAACUCUACUGGUCCUCGUUGGCGGCCAACCUGGUUACCAAUCAAAGACCAACGGUCCGUGACAAGUUGGCAGAAACCUUCAUGUUCGAACCACGCCGUCUCGAAAAAGAAUCUACGGCUACGAUGCACACUUUCCUCCCCUGAUGAAAGAAUCAGAGGAACGUGGUCUGAUCCAAUGCGCGUUUCCGCCACUAAGGUACAUAGGGGGAACAAGACCUCCUAGUCACUUGAACAAAAAACACAGUCAAGUACACAUCACACUGGCUCCCGUUGUUUGUUUGUCCAAGUAUAUCUUGUCCCUGUACGCGCAAUCUCUCUAAGAGCAGCGGCCGCGAUGGCAUUAUUGAACAAGGACACCCUAGCCCAGUCAAUGUUGUCGUUGCUCUUAUCCGCCCCCGAGCGGACCAAGUUAAAAUCACCUCCCACCAAACUGGUAAGUUGGACACUUGUUUGGCCCCAACCAGAGCUAUGAGUUCUCCCAAGAACUCCGCAGACCGCGCAUGAUUAGCCGGCCCAUAUACACUUACGAUCACCCAAGAGGCAAGGGAAACCCGAUGACGAAAAGUGGCAGCGAUAUAAAACGAACCAGAUUCCCACAUAAUAAUGCCGCAAGCAUCUUUAUUACAACCCAUCAAUUGACCACUAGAAAGGCCCACGGAAGGGGUCCAGAACCAAUCAAAACGCUGGAGCGGAUCGUACGCCAAAAGAUCUCUAAAUGAAAAAUCAGCCUUAAUCGUCUCCUGGAGCGCGACAAAGUCGAUGUGUUCUUUGGCCAUAUACUCACGCAGUUGCGUACGCCGCCCCACAUGCCCACAACCACGGAUAUUCCAGAAGAUGUAUCGCAUCAAAUGAUCCGGUUGCGCAGGCGGACUCCACGGGAGCUAACCGCCUUGGCCACACGCUUCCUAACCGGCGCCCGGCUGGAAGAGGGAAAGUCCGAGGCCACCCCAGCCUCGUCUCCCUCGAUGGGCAGAGAGACAAGACCAGCCCCUACUGGUGCUGAAGACUGGCCGUCCACUGACUGAAUGGCCACGCCCCUGGCAGCAGCAGCCGCCAGGGCGGCCUGAGCUUCUUCACACGCUCGCACUAACGGAAUAAUGUCCAAAGUCAAAGAAUCAAGCGCAACACCACUAUCAUGAAGAAUCUCGGCAAGAUGCUCGUCGGAAAAAGCAUUCAGAAUCUUAAAAGAAGGGGUAGGGUUACCUGCAACAUCCAUGUUUUUGUCAGCAGCACGGAGCUUGGCACUUUCCAGAGAACAUAAGUCCCCAAGCUUGGCCUUGGCACGAGCACUUGGAGCCCGGGACGCCACUGGGGUUGCCCUUGUACGCUUGGCCUUGGCUGCUGGCCCUGAAGCCACCAAAGCCGCCCCCAACUCGCCCCCCAGCGCCGCGCCGACCCCGCCGCAGCCGUGUCCACCGUCUUGCACCCAGCCUUCCGCCCAGCAGUCUUCUUGGCCUGGCGGCCGGAGCCGCUCGACAGGCGCCCUUCCGAGACCGGAGUGGGUACCAAGUCCAUGAGGAUGCAGUCCAACCCCGAGCCCCCUCCGCCCCCUGGAGAGGCAGGCAAGGCCUCGGUCUCCAUGGCCACCAACGACAGAGGCACUAUCGCAUUCCCCAGCCUUUCGAAGGACGGGUCCAGAGAGCGAGCGAGGGGGGGAAGGCUUACGGUCGUGUCUUGAGUCGCUAUCACCCCCAGUUUCUCCCAAGUUUCAGUAUCAAUUGAAGUAUCUUUGAUGCUAUCUUCAUGCUCAUCAGCCAGCUCGCCCAUCACCCCAUCUUGACCAACCGCCCGCACUCUGAAGCCAGCCGCCUCCUUCUGUGGCACCACCGACGCAGCAAUGGGCACUAUCGCACCAGUGGCAGUCACCUUGGAGGAAUUGCCCGCGGGUGGCCCAGGCUUGUGAGGCCCGCCCUUGCCAUGCUGGCUGUCAGGCGGGGGAGCGGAGGGGCCCGCCCCCGGAGCCCCUCCCCCAACCCCCAGCCACCGCGGGAGCUGCUCCAGCUCAACCCUGAUCUGGUACCCUUCGUGGUUGAACCAAACCUCCACUGUGCCGUUCAGCUUGGCCGGAGUCUUGCAAGCCAGUUUCAUCCGCACCGGACCCAAUUUAAUGAUGGAGAGCUCAUCGACCACGAUAGGCCGCCCCAACAUCUUGAAAGCCUCCUCGAUACACUCGAUCUUGCGAUGCUUCUCAGGGAUCCCAUGGAGCCGCACCCAUGCUUCUGGCAUCACCAUAGGUUGAAUCACCUCGUGCACCACAUCACGCACCCUAGCGGUGAUGUCGUUAAUUGAGAGGAACAGCUUGCCACUAGUCCGACCCAUAUGAAGGAGAUCUGCAGAGGGGAAAACCACCAUGAAAUCGUCUUCUCCCACUUGAGUGACUUGCUAGUCCCAAUCCCCCGUAACCAUGUGCUUGAGCUCCUGCUUGAGGACCCGCAGAUUCAGGCGGCCCGGCUCUGCGGAGAGAAUCACAGCAUUGCCGAUCGAGACCAGCCGAGGACCCUCGGACUCCGCCUCCUCUUCAAACUGCAGACAGAAGAAACCCUCCCCUGAAAUUGCGCUUCUCAUGAUCUGCAGGCUUGGCUGACACCCCUUCGUCGGACAGUGCGCAGAUGCAUGUCCCUCUUCCUUGCAUAGCACACACAAGGGCUGAAAUUUGCACUUGGACUGAUAGUGACCUAGCCUGCCGCACUUGAAGCACUCCACAUCCAUCUCCUCCGACGCGUCCUCCACCGGAAUGGGCUCGCCCGCUAUGCCCUUCGCACCAGGGGGGAGAGACACCGCCAGAGGUUCGGCCGCCGCCCUAGGCUUAUUGGCCAGAGGAUCCCCAUGGCCACCACCAUAGUUGGGAAGAUCCGCUGGCUUGCGCUCGAGCUCCCGGCGCCGAGCCAUCUCUUUUUUCUUCUUUCUUCGCUCCUGCUGCUGGAUCCACCAAGGGGGAGGAGGACCCCAAUCCCCCUCGCGCCCCUCCUGCUCGUGGCUUCGCUCAGAUCUGCCGCUCGGUCUUGCGCACAUCUCUUUCUUUGCCUUCUCCCUCAGAUCGUGCUCACACCGCCGCUCCCCAUCCGAGACCAGAGGCUCCAUUGGCCUCUUCUCCGCACGCCGCCCGCUCAUCACCGCCGCCGCAAACGAAAUGGAGAGAGGAGGAGGUGGGGAGAUGGGGUGGAUGGAGCGAACGAGGUGAGCCCAGCGCCGCACCUUGUUUCUGGAAGCAUGAAACCCUAGCGUGGGGUCGAGGCAGCCGCGUCACAUCCAUAUAUAGGCGCCACCGCUGGGCCUAGGCCGAGGCAGGCCCGGCACAGGCUGGUCAGAACCGACAGGACCACUUAGAGCCAGACCCCCGGGACCAGAAGGCACACUGUCCCCCACUAGACUUGGGCCGCCGACCCUCACUAAACUUGGUGAGUGGGCCGGCCCAUGAUCCACCUGCCCCUCGGCGGCCCCUGGCCCAGUGCCCGCAACCCUAGUCGCAAGGGAGCCAGAACCGCCCGCCGCCUCCUGCGGCACGGCCAGCGGUGCCGCCAGCACCCGCCCGACCGUUGCCGCCGCCGCCAGACAUGGCCACUCCACCUCCGAGUCCACCGCAGCCAGGAGUGCAGCCGCCCCCUCUCCUGGAUGCCCCGUGCGGCACCCCCUGGAGAUGCCGAGCCCUUGCCCGGAGUCAAAGAGGGUCUCCAAGCACGGACUGCGACCUCGCGCGACCCCCGAUCUCCCGGAGCAAAACGGCGGCGCGCCCUCACGGCGCCGCUCCCCUCCGCAUGCGCACAAGCCACAAAAUCUCCAAGCGACGGCCUCGCGCGGCGCCAGAUGCUCAGCCUCCACCGUUGAAUCCACAACCUCCUCGGCCUCGUCCUUCGAAUCGAAAUCAGCCAACGCCCAAAAGCGGCCUCCCACGGAUGCCAGCGCCGCGCCUGCCCCCAUGGCCGGCCCCGCCCUCGGCGGAGAGGCGCUAGCGCCACGCCGGACAACCUCCCAGCCCUCGCUGGCCGGAGCCGAAGGCGACCGGGGCAGGGAGCCCGGGCCGUCGCCAGGAGGAGAGCCUAACGGUCCGCUCAUUCUCGCGUGGUGGCGGAUCGACAAAACCUUCUGGUUGCAUCAUAUACAACUCUUUUUCCAGAAAUCCGUUCAGGAAUGCAGUUUUGACAUCCAUUUGCCAAAUUUCAUAAUCAUAAAAUGCGGCAAUUGCUAACAUGAUUCGGACAGACUUAAGCAUCACUACGGGUGAGAAGGUCUCAUCGUAGUCAACCCCUUGAACUUGUCGAAAACCUUUUGCAACAAGUCGAGCUUUGUAUAUAGUAACACUACUAUCAGUGUCCAUCUUCCUCUUGAAGAUCCAUUUAUUCUCUACGGCUAUCCGAUCAUCGGGCAAGUCCACCAAAGUCCACAAUUUGUUCUCAUACAUGGAUCCCAUCUCAGAUUUCAUGGCCUCAAACCAUUUCGCGGAAUCUGGGCUCAUCAUCGCUUCCUCAUAGUUUGUAGGUUUAUCAUGGUCUAGUAACAUGACUUCCAGAAUAGGAUUACCAUACCACUCUGGUGCGGACCGUACUCUGAAAGACCUACGAGGUUCUGUAGUAACUUGAUUUGAAGUUUCAUGAUCAUCAUCAUUAGCUUCCUCACUAAUUGGUGUAGGCAUCACUGGAACUGAUUUUAGUGAUGAACUAUUUUCCAAUUCGGGAGAAGGUACUAUUACCUCAUCAAGUUCUACUUUUCUCCCACUCACUUCUUUCGAGAGAAACUCCUUCUCUAGAAAGGAUCCAUUCUUAGCAACGAAUAUUUUGCCUUCGGAUCUGUGAUUAGAAGGUGUACCCAAAAGUCUCCUUUGGGUAUCCUAUGAAGAUGCAUUUCUCCGAUUUGGGUUCGAGCUUAUCAGGUUGAAACUUUUUCACAUAAGCAUCGCAACUCCAAACUUUAAGAAACGACAACUUAGGUUUAUUGCUAAACCAUAGUUCAUACGGUGUUGUCUCAACGGAUUUAGAUGGUGCCCUAUUUUAACGUGAAUGCAGCUAUCUCUAAUGCAUAACCCCAAAACGAUAUUGGUAAAUCGGUAAGAGACAUCAUUGAUCGCACCAUAUCCAAUAAAGUGCAGUUAUGACGUUCAGACACACUGUUACGAUGUGGUGUUCCAGGUGACAUGAGUUUGUGGAACUAUUCCACAUUAUUUGAACUGAAGGCCAAAAUCGUAACUCAAAUAUUCAUCUCUAUGGUCAGAUCGUAGAAAUUUUAUUUUCUUGGUACGAUGAUUUUCCACUUCACUCUGAAAUUCUUUGAACCUUUCAACUGUUUCAGACUUAUGUUUCAUCAACUAGAUAUACCCAUAUCUGCUCAAAUCAUCUGUGAAGGUCAGAAAAUAAUGAUAUUCGCCACGAGCCUUAAUACUCACUGGUCUGCAUACAUCAGUAUGUAUUAUGUCCAACAAGUUAGUAGCUCGUUCCAUUGUUCCGGAGAACGGAGUUUUAGUCAUCUUGCCCAAAAGGCGCGGUUCACACGCAUCAAAUGAUUCGUAACCAAAUGAUUAUGAAAAUCCAUCUUUAUGGAGUUUCUUCAUGCGCUUUACACCGAUAUAACCAAAUGGUAGUGCCAUAAAUAAGUUGCACUAUCAUUAUUAACUUUGCAUCUUUUGGCAUCAAUAUUAUGAAUAUGUGUAUCACUAUGAUCGAGAUCCAACAAACUUAUUUUCAUUGGGUGUAUGACCAUUGAAUGUUUUAUUCAAGUAAACAGAACAACAAUUAUUCUCUGACUUUAAAUGAAUAACCGUAUUGCAAUAAACAUGAUCAAAUCAUAUUCAUGUUCAACGCAAAAGCCAAAUAACAUUUAUUUAGGUCUAACACUAAUCCCGAAAGUAUAGGGAGUGUGUGAUGAUGAUCAUAUCAAUCUUGGAACUACUUCCAACACUCAUCGUUACUUCCCCUCAACUAGUCUCUGUUUAUUCUGUAACUCCUGUUUCGAGUUACUAAUCUUAGCAACCGAACAAUUAUCAAAUACUCCGGGGGGCUACUAUAAACACUAGUAAGGCACACAUCAAUAACCUGUAUAUCAAAUAUACCCUUGUUCACUUUGCCAUCCUUCUUAUCCACCAAAUAUUCAGGGCAUUUCCGCUUCCAGUGACCAUUUCCUUUGCAGUGUAAGCACUCAGUUUCAGGCUUUGGUCCAGCUUUGGGAUUCUUCGCAGGAGUGACAACUUGCUUGUCAUUCUACUUGAAGUUCCCUUUCUUUCCCUUUGCCCAUUUCUUGAAACUAUUGGUCUUGUCAAUCAUCAACACUUGAUGCUCUUUUCUUGAUUUCUACCUUCGUCGAUUUCAACAUCACGAAGAGCUCGGGAAUCGUUUUCGUCAUCCCUUGCAUACUAUAGUUCAUCAUGAAGUUCUAUUAACUUGGUGAUGGUGACUAGAGAACUCUGUUAAUCACUAUCUUAUCCGGAAGAUUAACUCCCACUUGAUUCAAGUGAUUGUAGUACCCAGACAAUCUGAGCACAUGCUCACUAGUUGAGCAAUUCUCCUCCAUCUUUUAGCUAUAGAACUUGUUGGAGACUUCAUAUCUCUCAACUCAAGUAUUUGCUUGAAAUAUUAACUUCAACCCCUGGAACAUCUCAUAUGGUCCAUGACGUUCAAAACAUAUUUGAAGUCCCGAUUCUAAGCCAUUAAGCAUGGUGCACUAAACUAUCAAGUAGUCAUCAUAUUGAGCUAGCCAAACGUUCAUAACGUCUACAUCUGCUCCUGCAAUAGGUCUGUCACCUAGCGGUGCAUCAAGGACAUAAUUCUUCUGUGCAGCAAUGAGGAUAAUCCUCAGAUCACGGAUCCAAUCCGCAUCAUUGCUACUAUCAUCUUUCAACUUAGUUUUCUCUAGGAACACAUAUAAAACAUAUGAAAGCAACAACGCAAGCUAUUGAUCUACAACAUAAUUUGCAAAAUACUACCAGGACUAAGUUCAUGAUAAAUUUAAGUUCAAUUAAUCAUAUUACUUAACAACUCCCACUUAGAUAGACAUCCCUCUAAUCAUCUAAGUGAUCACGUGAUGCAAAUCAACUAAGCUAUGUCCAAUCAUCACGUGAGAUGGAGUAGUUUUCAAUGGUGAACAUCAUUAUGUUGAUCAUAUCUACUAUAUGAUUCACGCUCGACCAUUCGGUCUCAGUGUUCCGAGGCCAUAUCUGUAUAUGCUAGGCUCGUCAAGUUUAACCUGAGUAUUCCGCGUGUGCAACUGUUUUGCACCCAUUGUAUUUGAACGUAGAGCCUAUCACACCCGAUCAUCACGUGGUGUCUCAGCACGAAGAACUUUCGCAACGGUGCAUACUCAGGGAGAACACUUAUACCUUGAAAUUUAGUGAGAGAUCAUCUUAUAAUGCUACCGUCAACCAAAGGAAAAUAAGAUGCAUAAAGGAUAAACAUCACAUGCAAUCAAUAUAAGUGAUAUAAUAUGGCCAUCAUCAUCUUGUGCUUGUGAUCACCUUGUCCGAAGCACCAUCAUGAUCACCAUCAUCACCGGCGCGACACCUUGAUCUCCAUCGUAGCAUCGUUGUCGUUUCGCCACCUAUUGCUUCUACCACUAUCGCUGCCGCUUAGUGAUAAAGUAAAGCAAUUAUAGGGCGAUUGCAUUGCAUACAAUAAAGCGACAACCAUAUUGAAAGGAUCGAGAAGAGGUGUCUAGAGGGGGGUGAUUAGACACUAAGUACCAAAAGUUGCAGUUUUUAACUUCUUUAAGUUGGAGUGGAGUUUAGGCACAAGUUUAACACUCACUAUACAUAUCAAGCAAGCAUGCAAAGAGUAUAUGAGCGGCGGAAAGUAAAGCAUGCAACUUGCAAGAAUUUAAAGGGAAGGGUUUGGAGAAUUCAAACGCAAUUGAAGACACAGAUGUUUUUGUCAUGGUUCCGAUAGGUGGUGCUAUCGUUCAUCCACGUUGAUGGAGACUUCAACCCAUGAAGGGUUACGAUUGCGCGAGUCCAUGGAGGGCUCCACCCACGAAGGGUCCAUGAAGAAGCAACCUUGUCUAUCCCAUCAUGGCCGUCGCCCACAAAGGACUUGCCUCAAUAGCGAUAGAUCUUCACGAAGUAGGCAAUCUCCUUGCCCUUACAAACUCCUUGGUUCAACUCCACAAUCUUGUAGGAGGCUCCCAAGUGACACCUAGCCAAUCUAGGAGACACCACUCUCCAAGAAGUAACAAAUGGUGUAUUGAUGAUGAACUCCUUGCUCUUGUGCUUCAAAUGAUAGUCUCCCCAACACUCAACUCUCUCUCACAGGAUUUGGAUUUGGUGGAAAGAAGAUUUGAGUGGAAAGCAACUUGGGGAAGGCUAGAGAUCAAGAUUCAUAUGGUAGGAAUGGAAUAUCUUGGCCUCAACACAUGAGUAGGUGGUUCUCUCUCAGAAAAUGCAUGCUGGAAGUGUAGGUUCGUUCUGAUGGCUCUCUCCAUGAAUGAAGAGGAGGUGGAGGGGUAUAUAUAGCCUCCACACAAAAUCUAGCCGUUACACACAACUUGCCAAACUCGGUGGGGCUGAAUUGAAAAACUCGGUCGGACCGAUUCAGCAAAUCUAGUGACCGUUAGGAUUUUCGGUGGGACCGACAUGCAACUCAGUAGGACCGAUAUGGUUAGGGUUAGGGCUUAAUGUAAUCUCGGUAAGACCGAUUACACAAACUCGGUGGGACCGAUUUUGGUAAUAAGAUAACCAGAGAGUUGGUCAGGCAAACUCGGUUUGACCGAUUUCACAAGCUCGGUAGGACCGAUUUUGGUAAUAAGUUAACCAGAGAGUUUGCAUUGUAAUCUCGGUAGUACUGAUUGCUCAAACUCGGUGAGACCGAUUUUGGUAAUGGACAUACAAAAAGAGAUUACAAUCCCAUCUCGGUGAGACCGAGAUCCCUAUCGGUGAGACCAAUUUGCCUAGGGUUUGUGGCAGUGGCUAUGACAUCUGAACUCGGUGGCGCCGGAUAGAAAGAAUCCGUAGGGCCGAGUUAGACUUUUGGUUUAGGACAUAUGUGGAUGUGAGAAAGUAGUUGAGGGCUUUGGAGCAUAUCACUAAGCACUUUGAGCAAGCAAGCCAUUAAGCAACACCUCAUCCCCUCUUGAUAGUAUUGGCUUUUCCUAUAGACUCAAUGUGAUCUUGGAUCACUAAAAUAGAAAAUGUAGAGUCUUGAUCUUGGAGCUUGAGCCAAUCCUUUGUCCUUAGCAUCUUGAAGGGGUUCCACAUCCUUCAGUCCAUGCCACUCCAUUGUUGAACUUGUCUGAAACAUACUAGGUAAAAGUGUUAGUCCAACAAGAGAUAUGUUGACAUUAAUUACCAAACCCACCCAGGGAGCACUUGUGCUUUCAAUCUCCCCCUUUUUGGUAAGUGAUGAUAACAUACAUCAAAGCCUUAGAUAAAGAUAUAAAGUAUAAUAAGUAAAGCUUUGGAAAGAUAUGUAACAUGCAUAGGCUCCCCCUACAUGUAUGCAAUCAUGUGAAUAUGGAAUAUAGAAGCAUGUGAAUGCAUAAACAUGACAGAGUAAGCAAUGUGUUACAUGUAUCUUGGCUAUAUGCAUCAGAGCAAAUGAUGUGAGUAUGAGAAAUGUACCUUCAUGCUCAUGAGUCCUUCUUGCAAACAGUAUGUACAUCAGUAAGAAUUCUUCAUACGCAUGAUUGUGAUGCAUAUACUUACCUUGUGGUCUUGAGUUGGCUUGGAUGGAAUGAACCUGUGAAAAUAAGGUUAGAUAACACAGGUACACCUACUGGCCAGAGCAAACAAAAGAAACCACAAGAGUACUAAGACUGGGAUGACAUGUUGAGAGUGAGUACUAAGUACCACAUUGAAUAUAGACAUGUCCCCAAAGGUAAAGAUGUGCAAUGAAUUUAAAGAAUUUCUUUCCCUUAGAUGUCUUGCUCCCCCUGAAUCUAGAAUGGGAUACUGGGAGAAGAUAGGGAACAGAAAAUCAGAGCAAAAUGCAAAAUCAGAGCUCAAAGAAACAAAUGAACAGAGCUAAUGCAAAUAAGCACAUAUGAACAUGUCUUUCCCCUCAAGAAGACAUGUGGCAUCUCUCCUCUUGAACACCAAGCAUCUGGGAUCCUUGAAGAUUACUCUCUUCUUGAGUAUUCUCUCCCCCUGGAGAUAUCUCUCCCCCUGUUGAAGUGAUAAGCUUUGAUGUGAUCUCUCUUUGAUGUGAUCUCUCUCUCUCCCUUUGACAUCAAUUUCCAAGAAGGGCCUUCUGGAAUUUGUCGUGAAUGGAUUUGGUCCUUGAGUCACAGCACAAAGCACUAAGGAAAGUGUGAUGCUUGUAGAGGACAAGAUUCAUUGAGUGGAGCUGGAUCAAAAGUAAAGCAGGAAUAAAUGGCAAAAUGUUUUUCCUGUUGUGAAAUCGGUGGCACCGAGUUGGAUGCUUCGGUUGCACCAAAUGAUUUCGGUUAGACCGAAAACAAGAAAACAGUGUGACCGAGUUCAUCACAGAGAAAACACUUGUCACCUCAGCUCACUAGACAGGUAAGAUCUCACAAGGAUUUGCAAGCAAUUAACAGAAAUAUUUGCAAUGAAUUGGAUGCAGGGAAUGCAGAACAAAUAGAAAAGGAAAGAAAUCUAGAUGAAGUUUUUUUUGAAAGGGGAAACAAAUAUGCAUGAGAAAAAUGCAAGAGCACAGAAAAAGAACACGUGAGAACUUCAUCUAGAAAUGGUCGGCGACAAGGUCACCUAUGUUAGAGUAUAUUGACUUAGGAGUCAAGUGAGAUCACUUGAUCAUAGGUCAUACUCAUCGUUUAAGCUCAAAAUGGGGUUACCAUUUUUUUGUUUAAGCAUCUUGAUGUAUUCACAUCUUGUCGAGUUGCUUUGACUCAUGACUUGGAGUAAAGCUUCUCUAAGAUGGAAUAACAUACCUUGGGUGGUGGUGUUGAUCGUGAUCAUUUAGUUGAACCUAUGUGGGUUGCUCAAGGUUGAUGUAGCUCAUCAAGAGUUGGGAGCACCACUUGGAAUUUGAGUUCAUCUACCUACAUGGGUUAGUUUUUGCAAGGAAGAGCACUUGUGUAUCCAAAAUGACAAUCAUGAAGAUCAACAUAGAAUUUGUCAAAUGAUAUGUUUGAAUGGUUCCGUGCUUCCUUGUCUUCAACCACCAUUGUGUAAAGACUUGGUGAUGUAGAGAUUGCUCAAGAUGUGAGUGAGUUGCAAUCUCAUAGAAUUAGAUUCAUCCAAGUACCUACAAGGGUUAGAUAACGUGCAAGAUGCAAAUAUAUCCAAGACAUAAGAUUUUCAUCAUAAGAGAAAUAUCACGGAUUAGUCAUAAGCUAAUGUCUUGCAUGCAUCCGAUGGAGUUCCUACUCCAAGUUUGAAGCAUCAAUGAUGUUAAAUUCACCUCUUAACCUGCAAAACACUUUCUCAUCAAGUGGUUUAGUGAAUAUCCGCUAAUUUCUUUUCGGUGCGAACAUGCUUAAGAUUAAUGUCACCCUUAGCAACAUGAUCUCGAAUGAAAUGAUGACGAACUUCAAUAUGCUUAGUUCGAGGGUGUUGCACGGGAUUAUGAGCAAUCUUGAUAGCACUUUCAUUAUCACAAAGUAAUGGAACAUGUUUCACAUAUAUCCCAUAAUCUUUAAGCGUUUGGGUCAUCCAAAUUAAUUGAGCACAACAUGAACCAACGACAAUGUAUUCCGCUUCGGUGAUGGAUAAGGAUACCGAGUUUUGUUUCUUGGAAGACCAAGACACAAGAGAUAUACCAAGAAAUUGACAAGUACCCGAAGUGGACUUUCUAUCAACCUUGUCACCGGCAUAGUCCGAGUCGGAGUAGUCAACAAGAUCGAAAGAGGCCCUCUUAGGAUACCAAAUGCCAAAAUUUGGUGUAUGGAUUAAGUAUCUCACUAUCCUUUUCACGUCCUUAAGAUGACAUUCUUUAGGAGAAGCUUGAUAUCGUGCACACAUGCACACACUUAGCAUGAUAUCGGGACAUGAAGCACAUAGAUAUAACAAUGAACCAACCAUAGAGCGAUAAACCUUUUGAUCAACUGGUUCACCAUCUUUGGUCAAAUCAAGAUGUCCACUAGUAGACAUGGGUGUAGUCAUACCUUUGCAUUCUUGCAUAUUGAACUUCUUGAAUAAGUCUUUGGUGUACUUCGUUUGAGAGACAAAGGUACCUUCCUUAGUUUGCUUGAUUUGCAAACCAAGAAAGAAUUUGAGUUCACUCAUCAUAGACAUCUCAAACUUCUCCGACAUUAGCUUCCCAAACUUUUCACUAAAAUGAGGGUUAGUAGAACCAAAUAUAAUAUCAUCAACAUAGAUUUGGCAUACAAAUAGUUCUCCAUUGACCCUCUUAGUAAAAAGAGUAGAAUCUAUUUUUCCAAUUUCAAAGCCUUUUUCAAUAAGGAACUUGGUCAAGCAUUUAUACCAUGCUCUAGGAGCUUGUUUAAGACCAUAAAGAGCUUUGUGAAGUUUGUAAACAUGAUCAGGUUUCUUAGGAUUAACAAGUCGGGAGGUUGUUUAACAUAAACUUCCUCCUCUAUUUCACCAUUUAGAAAAGCACUUUUAAUGUCCAUUUGGUACAAGGUGAUAUCAUGGUGAUUAGCAUAGGCAAGUAAGAUGCGAAUGGACUCAAGUCUAGUAACGGGAGCAUAAGUCUCACCAUAAUCCAUACCUUCGACUUGUGUGUAGCCUUGGGAGACGAGACGUGCUUUGUUGCGAACUACUUGUCCAUCUUCAUCUUGCUUGUUGCAAAACACCCAUUUGGUACCGAUGAUGUUGUGGUUGUUGUCGGGCUUCUCAACCAAUGUGCAAACUUGAUUUCUCUCAAAGUUGUGUAGCUCUUCAUGCAUGGCAUUUAUCCACUCCGGAUCUUCCAAUGCCUCUUCAACAUUCAUAGGUUCAAUGCUAGAGAUGAAUGAAUAGUGUUCACAAAAGUUAGCUAAACGAGUUUUAGAGCGAGUGAUUCUCCCGUUUUGGAUAUCAUUGUAUAUUUGCUCAAUGGGGUGGUCUUUAGCAAUUCUUGCUCGAACUCAUGAAUGCUUUUGCUUGGGUCUUGGUUGAACAUCUUCUUCAUCUUGUUCUUCUUCUUGGCCUUCUUCAUUGUUGACAUUGUCGUUCUCUUGUCGUGGUGGAGAAGGAGGUUGUUGACGUUCAUCUUGAUGCACUUCCUCGUUUUCUUCAUCUUGGUGUGUCCCACUUGUGGAUGCUUCCAUAUCAACUCUUGGUUCACCUUGUCGUGGGGUAGAAGCUUCCACUUGGACGGACGAGGUACUCUCCUUCACCUCCGUUGGACGAAUCUUGCCAAUAGAAAAGUCUUGGAUUGCUUCCGAGGGAUCUUUGUCUCCUACAUCAAUUGGCAAUUGCUCUACUUGCGAGCCGUUAGAUUCAUCAAACUUCACAUCUACCGUUUCUUCAACCUUUCGGGUGAAAUUGUAGUAGACACGGUAUGUGUGAGAGUUUGAGCCAUAACCAAGUAGGAAACCUUCAUGAGACUUAGGAGCAAAUUUAGAACGACGAUGCUUAUCAAGAAUGUAGCACUUUGAGCCGAAUACUCGAAAGUAUCCAACUUGGGGUUUGUUACCGGUGAGGAGCUCGUAUGCCGUCUUGCCGAGUAGCUUGUGAAGAUACAAGCGAUUUGUUGCAUCACAAGCUGUCUCAACCGCUUCUGCCCAAAAGUGCUUCGGUAUCUUGUACUCAUCAAGCAUCAUUCUCGCCAUUUCGAUGAGCGUCUGGUUCUUCCUCUCAACAACUCCAUUUUGUUGAGGUGUGUACGUAGCCAAGAACUCGUGUGAAAUCUCUUCUUCAUCAAGAAAGGUGUCCACAUUUGUGUUCUUGAACUCCGUUCCAUUGUCGCUCCGAACCUUCUUGAUCUUCACUUCAAAUUGAUUUUGGGCCUUCCUAGCGAAGUUUUUUAAGAUCUUUUGAACCUGUGAUUUAUCAUCGAGAAAGAACACCCACGUAAAUCUUGAAAAAUCAUCAACUAUAACUAGACCAAAAGAAUUUCCACCGAGACUUUUGUAGGCGUUGGGACCAAAAAGAUCCAUGUGAAGUAGCUCGAGUGGCCUCCUUGUCGUCAUGAUGUUCUUCACGGGAUGCCUUCCUCCAACCUGUUUACCUGCUUGACAAGCGCUGCAAAGUCUAUCCUUAUCAAAUAUGACAUCGUUAACUCCAAGGAUAUGAUUUCCUUUAAUAAGCUUGUCAAGGUUUCGCAUACCAACAUGACCUAAUCGUCUAUGCCAUAACCAACCUUUAGAGGAUUUAGCAAUAAAGCAAUUUCUAGGUUGAGCCUUUUUACUGAAAUCAACAAUGUACAGAUCACCUCUAUGUACACCGGUAAAGACCAUUUUAUGAUUAUCUCUACGAAACACUUGGCAAUCUACUUCAGUAAAUAGGACAUUGAAUCCUAAAUCAGCAAGUCUAGAUACUGAAAGUAAGUUGUAGCAAGAGAUUCAAUGAGCAUGACAUUUUGUAUGGAGCUAUCAUGUGAUAUGGCCACCUUACCGAGGCCAACCACCUUACCCUUUGAGUUGUCACCGAAAGUGACAUACUUUCGAGGACCAUCGUUUUCAGCAAGCUCACGAAACAUGUCUUUAUCUCCGGUCAUGUGAUCGGUACAUCCACUAUCAAGAACCCAUUCCUUUCCUCCUGCCAUAUAUCCCCGAAGAUUUGCCAUAAGACCAAAGUGUCUCAUUGCAUCAUCAAGAUCAAAGUCACUAUCACCAUCCUCAUCAUAGUAUCCAUGUUCAACAUCGCCAUGUGGUGGAUCAAAUCCUAGAGAGGGUGAUUCGUUAGAGUGAGUUUGACAAUGAUCUUGUUUAUGAAUUUUAAUAGCUUCGGAAAUAAUAUCACUAAUAAUUCCAACAUCUCCUUUGGCACGCAUAAGGUUUGUAAGCUCAAAUAGACAAUCACCAAACAUAUGAUCACUAGAAUUCAAUUUACUCAAGGCAAUAGACUUAUGGAGAAUUUCAUCUAGAUUUUUCAAGGAAUAAUUUGGAAAGCGUUCCUCAAGAAAUUUCCAUAUGGUGUAGGCACACUUAAGAGUAGGCAAACAUCCAAUCAAGUUUUUAGGCAAGCCUCUAGUGAUAAGUUCAACAGUUCUAAGAUUGUGAAUCAUGUCAAUUGAAUCAUCAAGGGUAGGAUGCAUAGGAUCAACAUGAGGUGCACAAGGGCUAGCAAUGUACUUAUUCAAAUGAUAUUGCCUGAAAAUCACAAGCAUCUCAUUUUUCCACUCAUGAAAGUACUCUCCAUCAAGUAUAGGCACUCUAUGUCUAAGACUCCCAAUAGUAGACUCAUCCAUCUUCCUCCAAUGGUGUUUAAACCAAGGCAAUGGAGACCAAAGCUCUGAUACCAAUUGAAAAGAUCGAGAAGAGGUGUCUAGAGGGGGGGGGUGAUUAGACACUAAGUACCCAAAGUUGCAGUGUUUAACUUCUUUAAGUUGGAGUGGAGUUUAGGCACAAGUUUAACACUUCCCUUUACAUUCUUGCAAGUUGCAUGCUUUACUUUCCGCUGCUCAUAUACUCUUUGCAUGCUUGCUUGAUAUGUAUAGUGAGUGUUAAACUUGUGCCUAAACUCCUGCCAGUUGCCGAUAACUCGAUUACAAAACAUGAUCAUCUCAUACAAUAAAAUAUAGUAUCACGUCUUGACCAUAUCACAUCACAACAUGCCUUGCAAAAACAAGUUAGACGUCCUCUACUUUGUUGUUGCAAGUUUUACGUGGCUGCUACGGGCUGAGCAAGAACCGUUCUUACCUACGCACCAAAACCACAACGAUAGUUCGUCAAGUUAGUGUUGUUUUAAACUUCUCAAGGACCGGGCGUAGCCACACUCGGUUCAACUAAAGUUGGAGAAACUGACACCCGCCAGCCACCUAUGUGCAAAGCACGUCGGUAGAACCAGUCUUGCGUAAGCGUACACGUAAUGUCAGUCCGGGCCACUUCAUCCAACAAUACCGCCGAACCAAAGUGUGACAUGCUGGUAAGCAGUAUGACUUAUAUCGCCCACAACUCACUUGUGUUCUACUCGUGCAUAUAACAUCUACGCAUAAAACCAGGCUCGGAAGCCAAUGUUGGCGAACGUAGUAAUUUCAAAAAUAUUCCUACGUACACGCAAGAUCAUGGUGAUGCAUAGCAACAAGAGGGGAGAGUGUUGUCCACGUACCCUCGUAGACUGACAGCCGAAGCGUUAGCACAACGUGGUUGAUGUAGUCGUACGUCUUCACGAUCCGACCAAUCCAAGUACCGAACGUACGACACCUUCGAGUUCAGCACACAUUUAGCUCGAUGACGUCCCACAAACUCCGAUCUAGCAGAGCUUUGCGGGAGAGUUCCUUAGCACGACGGCGUGAUGACGGUGUUGAUGAUGCUACUGACGCAGGGCUUCGCCUAAGCACCGCUACGAUAUUACCGAGGUGGAAUAUGGUGGAGGGGGGCACCGCACACAGCUAAGAGAUCAAUGAUCAAUUGUUGUGUCUAGAGGUGCCCCCCUGCCCCCGUAUAUAAAGGAGCAAGGGGGAGGCCGGCCAGCCUUGGGGCGCACCAAGGAGGGGAGGAUUCCUCCUCCUAGUAGGAGUAGGACUCCCCUCUUUCCUAGUCCAAUUAGGAAAAGGAAGGGGGGAGGAAGGAGAGGGAAAGGAGAAGGAAAGGGGGGGCCCCCUCCCUAGUCCAAUUCGGACCCCCUAUAGGGAGGGGGCGCAACUGCCCCUUGUGGGCUGCCUUCCCUCUUCCCUAUGGCCCAUGUAGGCCCAAUAGUCCCCCCGGGGUUUCCGAUAACCCCCGGGCACUCCGAUAAAUAUCCGAAUCACUCGGAACCUUUCCGAUGUCCGAAUAUAGUCGUCCAAUAUAUCGAUCUUUACGUCUCGACCAUUUUGAGACUCCUCGUCAUGUCCCCGAUCUCAUCCGGGACACCGAACUACCUUUGCUACAUCAAAACACAUAAACUCAUAAUAUAACCGUCAUCGAACUUUAAGCGUGCGGACCCUACGGGUUCGAGAACUAUGUAGACAUGACGGAGACACGUUUCCGGUCAAUAACCACUAGCGGAACCUGGAUGCUCAUAUUGGCUCCCACGUAUUCUAUGAAGAUCUCUAUCGGUCAAACCGCAUAACAACAUACGUUGUUCCCUUUGUCAUCGGUAUGUUACUUGCCCGAGAUUCGAUCGUCGGUAUCUCAAUACCUAGUUCAAUCUCGUUACCGGCAAGUCUCUUUACUCGUUAUGUAAUGCAUCAUCCCGCAACUAACUCAUUAGUCACAUUGCUUGCAAGGCUUAUAGUGAUGUGCAUUACCGAGAGGGCCCAGAGAUACCUCUCCGAUAAUCGGAGUGACAAAUCCUAAUCUCGAAAUACGCCAACUCAACAUGUACCUUCGGAGACACCUGGAGCUCCUUUAUAAUCACCCAGUUACGGUGUGACGUUUGGUAGCACACAAAGUGUUCCUCCGGUAAACGGGAGUUGCAUAACCUCAUAGUCAUAGGAACAUGUAUAAGUCAUGAAGAAAGCAAUAGCAACAUACUAAACUAUGAUGUGCUAAGCUAACGGAAUGGGUCAAGUCAAUCACAUCAUUCUCUAUUGAUGUGAUCCCGUUAAUCAAAUGACAACUCAUGUCUAUGGUUAGAAAACUUAACCAUCUUUGAUUAAUGAUUUAGUCAAGUAGAGGCAUACUAGUGACACUAUGUUUGUCUAUGUAUUCACACAUGUACUAAGUUUCCGGUUAAUACAAUUCUAGCAUGAAUAAUAAAUAUUUAUUAUGAAAUAAGGAAAUAAAUAAUAACUUUAUUAUUGCCUCUAGGGCAUAUUUCCUUCAAUACAAGUUUGCCUUCGAAUUGUAUACCCCUUUACAACUUUCAUCUGCAUGAUUCAUAAUAUAUGUUUCUCUAAAAUUUGUACUUUUUUUAUGAUAGAGUCUCCAACAAUGCAUCUUCUUUUGACGUUACAUUGGUGCGGCACCUAAUUAUAGAUUAUUUGCAGCUAAUACUUGUUCUCGCCUUCUGAUUAUUUAUUCACACCAUGUUUUAAGAGACAUUAUGCAACUCCAUAGAUGACAAUAAGCUUGUCAUGAAUGGAAGUGGAGCUAAAGAUGUAUCGCAGCAGGUUGUCACUGCCCUUGAAUGCUGGAAGGUUAGUGUUGUAUGAAAAGGAGAACUAAUUAGAGAAGAAGUAUAUUUUUCAAGGAAUUUGUUUUUUUAAUCUUGUUUCUCCAUUGAUUCCGAGUUUUGAACUUCAUAGCUUGGUCUGGGUUAUGGUGUUCAGCUUUUCGGUGGGUUUUGUCGAUCAACUUAAAUUCUGUGCUUGUUGGCCCGUCCUUUUGGCAUCACCUCUUGGUCAUUUGGUGAAUCUAUAUAUAUGUUUGUAGGAGAGCAAGUGUCUGUGACGAAUACGGGUAGUUGAAUAAGGCGUUCAGCAGGUUGGAGGGUUCUUAUUUUUUUAUAGAGAUCAAGAAUAUUGUUCAUGUUAAAUUUCAGAGGUGCUGCUACAAGUACACUAAUAAAUGUAUAUUGUUCAAGUUACAUGCAAAAUAUAGUAGUAUGCCUCCAUUCCAAAUUAUAAGAUGUUUUGGCAGGCUAAAAUUUGGAUCACAGGAAGUAUUAGUGUAAUAAUUGAGGUUGAUGCUAGGUCCAAGCCAUCUUCCGAUAUGCGGGGGAGAGACUAGAGGAGUGGAGGUAGUAAGAUUAGAGACGUAGGUUGCAGGUGGGUUGCUCAAUGUAGACCUAUGUUGCAGUAGAAGUGUGAUAAAAUUUCGUAUGAUCGAUUUUUGGUCGCAUGUUGUCGCAUGUUCGGUUUUGAGUAGGUUCUCCCUCUUACGACCACAAACCAAUUACAAGAGUAAAUGUGGGCCAAUGAAUGAAUGGGAGACAACGCCACGCCCAACUUGCUUGUGUCGUCUGAUGUAGAUAUUACAUGUAAGUGUCGCACUUGUCUGAUGUAGAUAUUGCAUGUGAGUGUCGCAGUUGAACGUGUUCGGUUGUGCGAAUGAAGAGAUGCUAACUAUCAAGAAUAAAUUAAGCUAGAGGGAUAAUAUAUAUUUAGUUAUAUAGACGAAAAAAAUCACACCACAAAGAUACUUAAAUUAUAAUAGAAAAUUUAUCGGUAUGCGUGUAUAUAUAUUUUCAACAUUCCGCGGCAUAAAAAAAGCUAGGAAGGGAAGGCAUCAUAACGGAUUCAUUGGACAUCGCCCAUUAUAGCAUAGGUUCUUGAGAGGCAUUUGCUGCCUUCUGCCCGUAGGAAGGCACGGACAGUGUCCUAGUAAAAGUAAAACUCGGGCGCGCGGCUUGAGCUCCUCGGUCUCCUCUGCCCGUAGGAAGGCACAGACAGUGUCCUAGUAAAAGUAAAACUCGGGCGCGCGGCUUGAGCUCCUCGGUCUCCUCCACGAAUUCGUCACACCUGACGAGCGACCGGCAAGACAAAUGGGAAGAGACCAGCUUCUAUUCCGACCACAAACAGCAUUUAUUCCCACUAAAAUCAGCGCGAUUGUAACGUUUAGCGCUUAAAUCGACUUGAAAUUGUUUCAAGUGUAUGGUCUAUGAUUCGCACGGCCAUUCAAAAAUUAGCAGAGAAUGUAGUACUACUAAUGGAUUUACUCAGUUGCUGAUGGAAUACAGACUGAUGAGCAAACUGGGCUCAAAACACAGACGCGAGAGACUCAAAACACUGGCUGCAACAUCGGACCAUCCGCACACAACACUAGAGCACAAGACACACCGCGCACGCACAGACGGCCGGACUCUGGUUUUAUUUCAUCACGACGACCGGGGCGAAACUCCACACCUCUGCUCUGCAGUCCACCUCACCGCGCAGCGAGCACGCAGACGCCUAG
rnacentral:lncRNA from 1 species